GCCUCACCAUUUCCAUCCUCCUCUUCCCCUCGCGCCGUCAGAUGGGUUACAGGGAUGCCGUCGGCAUGGGAGGGCUCAGGUGAGCUCGACACCACCACGAGGUCAACGCCUUCUUCCUCUCCGACAACGCCAAGAGCAUGCGGGGGUCGUGGGAGAUCCAUUCCCGCGGAGAGCGUGCAACGAGUACGACGACAUCGAUGACUCCACGACGGCCCCUUCUUCCUCCAGUCUGGCGAUCAUCGACAAAACCUCUGCGUCGUCGUUCCCCUCCGUCGAGCAGGCCGAUUCCUCAGACCUCUAGGUGAGCAUGCGCCCCGCUCCCCUCCGUCUUUAUCUGUUCUCUCUUCGUGUCCGUCGUGCACCGUUGCCGUGGUUAUCCGGCGAGGCACAUCAGUGCAGCUGCGUGCUUGCGAGCACCAGUGGGUGUCGGGGUCUUCCUCCCCCUCCACAGCGUUUCUAUUAGUGCAGAUCCCCCCUUCGUAGCUUCGAUGCGUGAGUGUGUGCGCGGUGUGACGUGCAGCUCCGGCGAGAGAGCACGUCGCCGACACUUCUCUGUCUAGCAGUGGAGAGACCAUGUUAGUUAUGUCUGGUGUGGAUCCCCCUAGCAGAGCAGAUCCACCACCCUAGCCUAGUGGCAACCGAACUAGGCAUACUCCACGGCAUCGUGGGUUCGAACCCCCUGGCGCCCCCUUUUUAUUUCGGUUGUUUUCUUGUGCAUGCAGAGUAGCAGCUCACCUUACCUGAAGCCCAGAAUAGUUCAGCUAGACCCGAGUGGCCUAGUGGUAGCGGGUGUGUGCGGGUGUGUGUGAGGUGCAGGGUUCGAACCACCCUGCACCUAUUUUUGUUGAGUGUAUUUUCCACUGUGUGUGUGUAUGUAGUGUGGCAGGGCCCACUUGUCACACUUGCUAGGGGGCCCCUGGUGCCUAUGACCAGUCGGGCCCCAUGCCAACUAUUGUUUUGUGUGUGUUGUGGUAUUAUUGAGCUUAUUCCCUUUUAGGCAUUAGUCCAUUUGGGGAAAUAGCCAGAUCUGGCGUAUCCCAUAAUAGGCAAGUUUUAACUUAUAGUUUGUUGUAGGAAUUGGGUGAUUUUUCUUUUUCAGAAUUGGGGGUAUUUUAUCCUUAGGUAUAUAGGAGUGUGAUAUAUGCUUUUGGGGUAUAAAAUCCCAAGGAUUCCAAUGAUGUUACUAGAUUCUGGUUUUGAGCGUUUCUGUAGAAGUCUCCUUGUGGUGAUGUGGCAAUAGUUUUAUCUGUGUAGGGUGGUUCAUGUGCAUGGUAAGAGAUAGUGCAUGCAUGCAUCAUUAUGUCUGUGGCAUCAUCUACUUGCUGGCAUUUAUUUCCUGCUUGUUUCCUUUGGGUAGCUACUCGGACCGGAAACGAGUUCGAAGAGUCCGGUGAGUUCGUGUAGGAAUAUCGUGAUCAGUUCCACUCUGAAGAAACCACAUGCAAGAUGAUCGUGACCUUGACACCGUUUCUAGCUUUGUUUCGCUUAGUGUUAGGUUUCAUUCGUUACAUCUCCGUUGCCUACCACAUGAUAUAUAAGCCAUCAAACAUUUCCAUGAAACCUCAAACACCUCCCCUCCUAGCAAAGAUUGUUUGGCUAAGUUAGGCUUGCUCAACCACUAAAUUGUUAGUGUUGCUAGUUGCAGGUGCCAGCUGGUCCAUGUGAUAACAUGGGCAUUUGAUAUCAUCAUAUUUAAUUGCUAUUUAAUUAAUGAACAUAUAUACUUGGCAAUAACGGAAGGCCUAGCCUUUUGCCGGGUGAUUUGUUCCGUUGUUGCCACCUUAGUUUCGGCUAUCGGUGUUUUAUUCCUUAACUGAGCGAUCCUAACACGUUCGGGGUUGUUAUGGGGACCACCUUGAUAAUUCGUUUAGAUUAAAUCUUCUCCAGCCAUGCCCAACUUUGGUGUUAAAUUUGCUAAUAACUUAAUAAAAAGCAUAGGGAAUAGCUACCCUGAGGAAUUAAUCAACAACCCGGGUCAGAGCUCCUCAUGAGUGUUGGUCCAACCUGAGUGAUGUCCGGCGCCCCCUGGUCACCCAGGGUUUAGCCAACCCGAAGUCUAGCUCAUCCGGUCGUGCCCUGAGAACGAGAUACACGACUCCUAUCGGGACUAUCGACACGCGGGGCGGCCUUGCUGGAUUAGUUUUACCUUUUACGAGAUAUCUUGUGCAUUGGGAUUCCGGUGAGACUUUGGGUCUUCUCACAGUUGAGGUUUUUCCACUAAGGAAUCGGACGAGAUCACGAGUUUCGUGGUAGAGGAUUACUAUGCGGCCUCUGGUAAUUUGUGAUGGACUAGUUGGAGCACCCGUGCAGGGUUAAAUCUUUCGGAAAGCCAUGCCUGCGGUUAUGUGGCAAACAUGGAUAUUUUGUUAACAUCCGGUUCUAGACAACUUAAAGUAAUUCAAAUAAAAGUUGCCAACUGAGUGUGUAACCGUGUCUGUUUCCUUCAGAGCUCCUUCUCUAAUCGAGAACAGAGCGGGGUUAUGAAUGACGUAAGUAGGUGUUCAGGAUCACUUAGUGAUCAAUCUAGUCUUCGACCGUCUUACAUAGACCACCAUAUGUUAUCCCUGUUCUUCGUAAGUUAACCACCAUCUAUGCUUAGGAUACUGCAAACUCAAACACUUAACCUACCUCACCUAUUUAACUUAGUUAGACUCGAUACCAAGGUCAUGAGAUUGCUGAGUCCUCGUGGCUCACAAUUUACUACAAACCCCCAUAGGUAUAGGUACCCCACACGCAGGUGUUUCCGAUGAUAACCAGCUGAGGUGGGAGUUCGACGAGGAUAGUGGCAGGCUGGAUGUGACGUAUCCCGAGGACUAGAGGUGCAUGUUCGUGAUCAUGGGACUAGCCAGAUGGGAUAGCAUGAUUUUUCCGUUUAUCUUGUCCGUAGUCGGACCCUCCUUUAUGUAUUUAUAAUGAAUACUUGUGUGGAUUGUAAUUUAGCAUGUGGCGAGUGUAAGCCGAAUCUUAUACUCAUCUCUCUAUUUAUGUAAUGGCAUUGCUAUCCUAGUUGCAAUACACUUAGAUGGGACCCUUUCCCCUUUUGAGGCCUCGUCCCCAAAUAAGGAAAGUGCCGCAUCUUGGUCGUUACAAGUUGUUAAUCAGAGCCUUACGACCAUAGGAGCCUUUGUGUGAUCGAACUUGGCCGAGUCGAGUCUAGCAAAAACUAUUUUGAGUCUUAGUUAUAUCGGAGAGUAGGUUUCUUUUUUCUCUUCUUCUAUGCUCUCAUGAUGCUCGUGACUUGGGAAAUUUUAAUUCUACUGCUCUUCUUGCUCGAAAAAAAUUUAGGAUCACGCGGAUAUUUUGAAAUCUAUAUGAUAUCGAUGUGAUGGAGUUCUGUCUUGGUGCCUCCUGCUGUGUUGAUUUUAUUCCGGGGAGUUGAGCUCCAGGGAAUUCUUGAGCACAUCAUUAUCAUUCAGAUUUCUUAGUAUCUCAUGAUGAAGGAUGUUUGAAAUUGAUUCAAUACUAGCAGUGGCGAGAGGAGUGUGGCUUCCCCAGUACUGGUGCAGAUAGGUCCGGAUGUAUCGCCAUACUUAGUAUCGUUGUGAUUACGAGGAUAUGAGAUAGAUGAACUUCCAAGAUUUUGGUUAUGUGUUGACGGAUGUGAUACACUAGAAGGGUUAGAUGCUAGGAGUUGAGUGAUAUAUUACUCCUUGUAUCCGUGGACCAGAUUGCAUGACCAGAAAUUUCGGGAGUUCUUAGGUGGGAAUUCAGGUAGUUACUUAUAGGACAUUCCUCCAACAGAUGCAUGAUGUGAGGUUUUGAUUCGACAUCUAGUGGAUUCGUUUGUUCAUGGUCAUCUUACAAUGGUUCUCGUUGUGUCUAAAAGUGUCCUUUGUAACGACUAAGAUGCGGUCCUUUCCAAUUUAGGGAACGAGGCCCCGAAUUGUAAAGAAGCGCAUCUAAGCGUUUCGCAAGCACGGUAAUGCUACUCCGACAACAGACCUUUCCUGGUACGGCGCCAGGAAUCAUGUUGCUACGGCUACGCCUUUAGGGAAUUCCUUGGCAAAUAUGCAAAGGAUUUGCCCCCGGCCUUGGAGCCUUGCGUUGGUGUUCCCUUGAAGAGGAAAGGGUGAUGUAGCACAGCGGCGGUAAGUAUUUCCCUCAGUUUUGAGAACCAAGGUAUCGAACCAAUGGAAGAUCUCGUCAAGUCACAAGUACCUGCACAAACACAAAGAGCUUGCACCCAACGCUAUGAAGGGGUUGUCAAUCCCUUAUAGAUUGUUUGCAAAGUGAGAACUGAAAGCAAAGAGUAAACAGAGCAAAGUAAAAGUGAAAGUGGAAACGAUAGUUGUGAAUAGACCCGAGGGCCGUAGUGUUCACUACUGGCUUCUCUCAUGAAAGCAAGUAGACGGUGGGUGAACGAAUUACUGUCGAGCAAUUGAUAGAACCGCGCAAAGCAGUGACGUUAUCUAAGGCAAUGAUUACAUAUAUAGGCAUCACGUCCAAAACAAGUAGACCGAUACUUUCUGCAUCUACUACUAUUACUCCACACAUCGACCGCUAUCCACCAUGCAUCUAGUGUAUUAAGUUCAUGGGAAUAGAGUAACGCCUUAAGCAAGAUGACAUGAUGUAGAUGGACAAUCUCAUAUCUACGAGAAAAGCCCAUCUUGUUACCCUUGAUGGCAACAACACAAUGCGUGCCUUGCUGCCCCUUUUGUUACUGGGAAAGGUCACCACACGGUAUGAACCCAAAACCAAGCACUUCUCCCAUUGCAAGAAUCAUAGAUCUAGUUGGCCAAACAAAACCCAAGACUCGGAGAUACUUACAAGGAUAUCAAAUCAUGCAUAUAAGAAAUUAGCAAAGACUCAAAUAUAAUUCAUAGUUAAUCUGAUCACAAAUCCACAAUUCAUCGGAUCUCGACAAACACGCAGCCAAAGAGGAUUACAUCGGAUAGAUCUCCAUGAAGAUCAUGGAGAACUUUGUAUUGAAGAUCCAAGAGAGAGAAGAAGCCAUCUAGCUACUAACUACGGACCCGUAGGUUUGAACUAGACUACUCACGACUCAUUGGAGAGGUGAUGAUGUUGAUGUAGAAGCCCUCCAACUCCAAAGUCCCCUCCGGCAUGGCACCGGGAAGGGUCUCCAGAUGAGAUCUCGCGGAAACGGAAGCUUGCGGCGGCGGAAAAAUGUUUUCGUGGAUGCCCUGAUUUUUUUCUGGAUUUUAGGGAAUGUGUAGGCGAAAGAGCUAGGUCAGGGGGCGCCAAGGAGGCCAUAGGCCUAGUAGCCGCCGCCCCCCUGGUGGCGGCUACAGGGCUUGUGGCCCCCCUGUGGCUCUCGUGCCUUUGCCCUGAAGUCCCGUGAUCUUCUUCCGUUCUGGAAAAAUUUAUUUCGGGGAUUUUAUUCCGUUUGGACUCCGUUCCAAAAUCAGAUAUGAAAAGAGUCAAAAACACGGAAAAAACAGGAACUAGCACUUGGCACUGAAUUAAUAAGUUAGUCCCAAAAAAUAUAUAAAACGUAAACAAAACAUCCAAAGUUAACAAGAUAACAACGUGAAACCAUAAAAAAUUAUAGAUACGUUUGGGACGUAUCAAGCAUCCCCAAGCUUAACUCCUGCUCGUCCUCGAGUAGGGAAGUCAUAAAGAAUGAAUUUUUGAUGCUUUCAUGCUACCUAGCAUACAUGUCCUUUGUAACUCCUCUUAUGUGACGUGAAUGUUAAGAUCAAUUAGAUUCAAAACAAUAGUUUGCUAUUGACGUGGAGACAAUAAUAAUCAACAAACUAGCAAGGUAACCAUGAACUUUCAAAAUAACAAGGCCAAAAGAAAGUUAUCCCUACAAAAUCAUAUAGUCUAGCUAUGCUCUAUCAUCAUUGCACAACGAAUUAAAUCAUGCACAACCCCGGUAUUGGCCAAGUAAUUGUUUUCACACCUUUACUUCUCAAACUUUUUCAACUCUCAUGCAAUACAUGAGCGUGAACCCCGGUAUUGGCCAAGUAAUUGUUCCCGAUCGAAGAGAGGUCUUUAGAGGGGACAAUCACGGUUACGCACACAGUUGGCAAUUUUAUUAGAUUAUGUUCAAGUUAUCUAUAACCGGUUUUUAACAAAUAUUCCAAGUUGCCACAUAACCGCGGGCACGGGUUUCCGAAAGAUUAAACCCUGCAGGGGUGCUCCAACUUGUCCAUCCCAAACGGUCACGGGCCGCAAAGUAAUCCUCUUUCACGAAUCUCGUGAUCUCGUCGGAUUCCUUAGAGGAAAACCUCAACUAUGGGGAGAACCAAAGCUUCACCGGGAUUCCUAUACGCAAGAUAUAUCGCUAAGGGAAGACAAGACUAGCAGGACCUCCCGUCGUGUCGACGACCCCGAUAAGAGCCGCGUAUCUCAGUCUCAGGACACGACGGAUGAGCUAGACGUCGGGAUGGCUAAACCUCUGGGUGACCAGUGGGGCCCCGAACAUCGCUCAGGUGGGGCCAACACUCAUGAGGAGCACUGGCCCGGGUUGUUGAUUAAAUUCCUCGGGGUAGCUAUUCCCUAUGUAGAUUAUUAUUUAGUGAUUAGCAGAUUAAAACCAAUGUUGGGUCGUGCCGGACAAGUCUUAACACUACACGAUUUAUCAAGGGGGUCCCCAUAACAACCCCGAACGUGUUAGGAGCGAUCAGUUAUGGAAUCAAACACCGGUAGCCGGUAACUAUGGCGGCAAUAACGGAACAAAACACCCGGCAAAAGGCUAGGCCUUCCGUUAUUUACCAAGUAUAUAGGUGGAUUAAUUAAAUAUCAAAUUUAACAUAAUGAUAUCAAACUCAUGUUAUCACAUGAGACAAUAGCACCUACAACUAGCAACGCUAACAUUAGAAGUUGAGCAAAGCCUACUUAGCCAUUCAAGAUUUGCUAGGAGGGGAAAGUGUUUGGGUUUCAUGGCAAUAUUAGGAGCCAAUUAUUUCAGUGGUAGGCAGCGAGCAUAUGACGGAGAAACGGGAAACUAGCAUAACAAGUCUAGAGAUGGAAUCAAGGUCAUAUCAUCUUGCCUGUGAUGUCCUCAACUUGGAACUGCUCUUGUUCGUCCUGCACGUACUCUCCCAGAUCCACGUACUCGUUCUCCGAUCCCGGUGCUACCCAACAUAAAAAUAGCAUCCAAUGAACAACAACAACACAAGAUGCAACAAGCACAUGAUGCAUGAGAUGAAUAUGAACAUGCAUCUCUAUUCUAGUCACUAGCACAAGCAUGAGAAGCAAAUACAAGUUCCUGGACAGAACUGCACUCUAAGCUAUCUUGACAUGCAUGAGAAUGACAUGAACAGAUGCGUCACGUGAAAACGAUGCAAAAACAUAUAAAGAAUGUAACGAACGGAGCUAUGGUUCAACGGGAAACAACGAAACAAUAAUUGAAGUCAUUCGUAUCAAAAUCAUCACAACACACUCCAAUGGCAUACUUCUGGUAUUCCCAGGUUGCCAAAACACAAAACAAACAAGAAUGGAUGGGGUGGUGCAAAGAAUAUCACCACACCAUCAACUAUGCACUCACAAGCAUCAAAAUAUCAAAACCAUACAGUCUGCCAUAAACAGCAACAUAGCAUUUUGAGGGAUACAUGCAAAGCACCUACAGCCACCCAAAUAUGCCAAAUAGGAUAUGUGGCAAAAGCUAAUCAAAAGUACUACAAGCAUGACCAAAAGGCUAAUACAAAGGAGUUUCACACAGAAAGUUACACAGGUGCUAACUUGGACAAAAAUAUUAGUUUUCAAGGACUUAGUGAAAAUUCCAGAUUCUCACCAGCUGUUUAUGCUCUGAAGCAUUUUGACAGCACCCAAAACAAUAUCUACAGGAUUCCAAAUGGAAUGAAAAUUGCAAAGAGCUAGACAAACACAAAAGCUACAACUUUCCAGUUGAUAGCAAAGGCUGAUUCACAACACAUGGCCUUCUACAAGCACAACAACAGGAGAAGAAAAUAUAAGCAGAUUCUCAGACUUAGUGAAAAUCACAGAUUUUCACUAAACUGGAAUUUUAGCCACAUGCCUACUUUGACUAGGCACAACUUGCACCCCUGAACUCCUAAGCAUGAAACAAAACCAACAUGUGGUAGAGGGGUUCACCCUCUACUGCCACAACAAAGAAUCAACCUCUUGGGCUCAUCACAUCACAUGGAACCAAGUUGUAAACAUGGAACAAAACUGAAAUCUAUCAUUCCCAGAAUUGUUCCAAAGUGGAAACUGACUUCACCAAUGGAUUCCUGGGAUGAUUCUACCCCAAAAACAUAUAUAAUACAUAGGCACUUGCGUAAAAUAAUUAGGCACAAACUUGAAAAUAAAAUCUACAUGGAAUCACAUAGAGUGAAUAGUGCAUCAUCACGUGUGCUUCCACUAGUUCAUCACUUAUACAUGCUCUUGCACAUGUCCACAACACCAAUGGUGCACAUGAGGGGUAAACCUCAUGCUCAUGUGCCUUAGCACUCCACCACACACUUACAUGUAUCAAGCACAACAUAAUAUAAACACCUACACAUGCUAAUGAGAACACACACACUAGAUUACACCACAUCAUCUAUACACCUACACAUAUAAACAUGCGCAUGUGCUCAUCAAGGCACUCCAUGCCUUUAGCAUGUGUGGGACACACACACACCAUCUCAUACAACAACACAAGAGCACCUACAUAUACACAAGGUAGGUGAGGGGGAAACCCACACACACACUCACAUCACAUACUUGCACAAGAUAGGACAUAAGUCCAUCAACAUGCACAUGGGAAAACACUCACACAUGCAUCUCAUUCUAGCCUAGUGCAUGCACACACACACACAUGACUAGAUCACACUCAAACAUGAGCUAACUCUCAUAACACUUAUGCACACAAGGUCCUUCACAUACAUAUUAACAUAGCUAGCAAAAUACUAGGAACAACAUGCUGUUUGGAGGCAAGCAAAAAAAUACCCCACUUGAAGAUCUAGCACACCACAUACAUCUAUGCCAGCAUACAAUGCAAAAACGGAAAAGAAUGCAACAAAAAAAAUAAUGGGGAGGGAUUCGAACCCAGACCCCCUGGUUACCAACACUGAACCAGCACCACCCUGCUCCUGCGCAUGCACUUGACAGAUACAGCGAAGAGAGCAGGUUAUGCUCUCUGCUGCAGUUGUUGUGCCGGAAAAAUGAAAAACAAAAGGUGAGCCGAGGGGGAAUCGAACCCACGACUAGCCACUGCGCCAAAACUACCACUACCACUCUGCUGCUCGUUGGGAUCUUAACAGGUGAGGGGAGUAAUCUCUCUUGAGCACCCCCUCAUGCCUAUCCUCUGCCCGACGGUGGCCGGAACAGGGGACGGUGCUCGCCGGCGAUACACUUUAAAUCAAGCUACGGCUACUCGAUGGAAGGAAGCCCUUCCUCCCAUGGUUCCAUUUCACCUACUAGCACUACUCGAGAGGGCCUGCAGCGACGGCUCGACGAGGCACGACGGCUCCGGCGACAGAGAAGGAACGGCGUCAACGCUACGGCCUACUGCUCGUGAUCUGGGACAGGGAAGAAGGGGAGAUGGAUCUACCUCACCUACUGGACGAGGCGGUUGCGUUGGCCGAAGAGGAAGUAGAGGAAGAAGGGGAAGGAGCCGCUCGGGGAAGAUCGUCGGGGAAGAAGGCCGCCGUCGUCGAGGAGAUGUAGCAGUGCCGAUCUUGUCGUCCUAGCCACGGGAAUGGGCUCCUGGAGGGUCCCGCGUGCUCGCCAAGGAGAUGGAUAGGCCGCAGGUGUACGGGCGCGACGGCGAGGAUCUUCUCAGCUUGCGGUCAUGGCGGAGGAGGUCGAUCCCCUUACCUGGUGUCGGCGACAGAGAGGGAGAAUGGGAUGGGAUGGAGGUGGCGGCGCGAGAGAGAAACCCUAGGCUGCACGGACACUAAUGGGGGAUUAUAUGGAGGAGGAGGAGGUGAGGGCAGCGCCUCGCGUCCGUGACGCCGUCUGUUGCUGCGGCUCUCUCUGCCUCUGUGAAGGAGCCUCACGGAGGAGGAGGACACGGAACGGCGUCUACACGAGAAGGAGGGGAGCUGGGCCUGCUAGUGGGAGGAGGACCACUAGUUGGUGCCAGAUAGAAGAAAAUUUAAAUCCCUGGGGUUUGCAAAUUACAAAAUAACCAGAGAAAGAAAAUAAAGCAAAGUCAAAUCUGUUGGGGUUAAAAACAAAACAAAAAUGCCCCUGGUCAUAAUGAUUUAUGACCUAUUUAAAUUAAUUGGAAAACAAAUAUUAGGAGCAACUAAAUAUUAAUAAAACAGAAUUUAUUGGACCGCUUUUGUGAAUACUAGCACCUUUAAAACAUAUUUUCAAAUCAGCAAAUCACAUCCUCACAAUCACCAAUAAUACAUGCUAAAACAUAGGCAUUUUUGAAAUAGGGAUGGGGCAAGAGAAUCUUGGCUUGAGAUAAAUAGAGAGGGGGUUGUUUUGAAACCCUAGUGCAAACCACAUAGUGCUAACUACUAUCCAACCACAUCCACAUCACUCCACUUAUCACACAUAUCAUCAUCACAUCACAACUCAUGUCACCACACCUCCACAUAUGAUCACAAGGCAACAAACACAAAGCAUGGAAUGGAUGGAAUGCAUGCAUGCAAAGGAAAAGAAAUCAAGGUGACAUCACAUGAAAUCAUAUGCAUUGAACUCUCAUAACAAUGACAAGUUGGACCCACAUAGAUAAGGUUCCAAAUAUGGCAAGUUACACACUUGGGGCAUUACAUCCUUGUAGCUUGCUACGACUCGGGGAUGCUUCGUAUGUCGUGUGCACUGCCUUAUACAUGAUGGCUACUGUAGGAUCGAGCCCAUGUGAUCAUAUCCAUGAAAAUAUCGGAUGGAAUCUCUGUCAUACAUUUGUUCCGAGAAAUCCUAGCUCAUACUUGGUUUACAAGUGGCUUUGAAUCAGAUGUUGUGGACAAUUGUUUGGACUCUAAUUUGCAUGAUUUGAAUGGAACUAACCUGGACUGACGCUGUUUUCAGCAGAAUUUCCAUGGUGUUGUUUUUUGCAGAAAUAAAAGUUCUCGGAAUGUCGUGAAAACUUACGGAGAUUUUUUCUGGAAUAAAAAAAACCUACGCAAAGAUCCACCGGAGGAGGUGGACCAGUGGGCCACAAGCCCACAGGCCGCGGCCACCCCCCUGGCCGCGCCGUGAGGGCUUGUGGGGCCCACGUGGCUCCACUGCCCCCAAACUCAGCUCUAUAUCUUCCGUCUCACCCGGAAAAAAAAUCAGAGAGAAGGUUUCAUCGCGUUUUGCGAUACGGAGGCGCCGCCACAUCCUGUUCUUCAUCUGGAGGGCAGAUCUGGAGUCCGUUUCGGGCUCCGGAGAGGGGAAAUCAUCUCCACCGUCAUCAUCAAGCUUUCUCCAUCAACAAUUCCAUGAUGCUCUUCAUCGUUCGUGAAAAAUCUCAUUGUAGGCUUGCUGGACGGUGAUGAGUUGGAUGAGAUCUAUCAUAUAAUCGAGUUAGUUUUUGACGGGGAUUGAUCCCUAGUAUCCACUAUGUUCUAGAUUGAUGUUGCUACUACUUGGCUAUGCUUAAUGCUUGUCACUAGGGCCUGCUACUGCAACAAAAGACCUUCCAAUGGCGCCAAAAAUAGGCACGUUGACGGGAGAAUACUUGACUUGAUCCUUCUGUUGCGGCUACGCCUUAAGGGACUUCCUAGGCAAGUAUGCAAAGGAUUUCCCCCGUGGCCUUGGAGCCUUGCAUUGGUGUUCCCUCGAAGUGGAAAGGGUGAUCUAGUGUAGCGGUGGUAAGUAUUUCCGUCAGUUUGAGAACCAAGGUAUCAAUCCAGUGGAGGAGUAUCUCAAGAUCCUGCACAAACACAAAAGCUUGCUCCCAACGCUAUGAAGGGGUUGUCAAUCCCUUAUAGAUUGUUUGCCAAGUGAGAACUAAAAGCAACAAAGUAACAAAGAAAAGUAAAAGCGGAGGUGUAAACGAUGGAUGUGAAUAGACCCCGGGGCCGUAGUGUUUACUAGUGGCUUCUCUCAUGAAAGAAAGUAGAUGAUGGGUGAACAAAUUACUGUCGAGCAAUUCAUAGAACCGCACAAAGUCGUGACGAUAUCUAUGUCAAUGAUUAUAUCUAUAGGCAUCACGUAAAAAACAAGUAGACCGAUACUUUCUGCAUCUACUACUAUUACUCCACACGUCGACCGCUAUCUAGCAUGCAUUUAGUGUAUUAAGUCCAUAAGAACAGAGUAAUGCCUUAAGCAAGAUGACAUGAUGUAGAGGGAUAAUCUCAAACCAAUGAUGAAAACCCCAUCUUUUUACCCUUGAUGGCAACUACUUAAUGUGUGCCUUGCUGCCCCUACUGUCACUGGGACAGGUCACCACAUGGUAGAACCCAAAACCAAGCACUUCUCCCAUUGAAAGAAUCAUAGAUCUACUUGACCAAACAAAACCCAAGACUCAGAGAGACUUACAAGGAUAUCAAAUCAUGCAUAUAAGAAAUCAGCAAAGACUCAAAAUAUAUCAUAGAUAAUCUGAUCACAAAUCCACAAUUCAUCGGAUCUCGACAAACACACCGCCAAAGAAGAUUACAUCAGAUAGAUCUCCAUGAAGAUCAUGGAGAACUUUGUAUUGAAGAUCCAAGAGAGAGAAGAAGCCAUCUAGCUACUAACUACGGAUCCUUAGGUCUGAAGUGAACUACUCACGAGUCAUUGGAGGGGCCAUGAUGAUGAUGAAGAAGCCCUCCAACUCCAAAGUCCCCUCCGGCUGGGCGUCGGGAAGGGUCUCCAGAUGAGAUCUUGCGGAAACGGAAGCUUGUGGCGGCGGAAAAGUAUUUUCGAGGCUCCCAUGAUUUUUUGCUGAAUUUUUGGGAAUAUAUAGCCAAGGAUCUAGGUCAGGGGGCGGUCAGGGAGGCCACAAGCCCUGACACCGCCGCCUCCCCCUGGUGGUGGAGUGGGAGCUUGUGGGCUCCCUGGAGCCCACCUGGCUUGGCCCAGAGGCCCCCUGAUCUUCUUCCGUUCGGGAAAAAAUCAUUUUGGGUUUUUUAUUCCGUUUGGACUCCGUUCCAAAAUCAUAUCAGAAAAGAGUCAAAAACACAGAAAAAACAGGAACUGGCACUUGGCACUGAAUUAAUAAGUUAGUCCCAAAAAAGAUAUAAAAGGUACAUAAAACAUCCAAAGAUGACAAGAUAACAGCGUGAAACCAUCAAAAAUUAUUGAUACGUUUGAGACGUAUCAAGCAUCCCCAAGCUUAACUCCUGCUCGUCCUCGAGUAGGGAAGUGAUAAACAAUGAAUUUUUUAUGCUUUCAUCCUACCUAGCAUAGGUGUCCUUUGUAAUUCCUCUUAUGUGACGUGAAUGUUCAGAUCCAUUAGAUUCAAAACAUUAGUUUUCUAUUGACGUGGAAACAAUAAUAAUUCAAGCAAACUAGCAAGGUAAUCAUGAACUUUCAAAAUAACAAGGCCAAAAGAAAGUUAUCCCUACAAAAGCUUAUAGUCUGGCUAUGCUCUAUCAUCAUUGCACAACGAAUUUAAAUCAUGCACAACCCCGGUAUUGGCCAAGUAAUUGUUUCACACCUUUACUUUCUCAAACCUUUUCAACUCUCACGCAAUACAUGAGCGUGAGCCACGGUUAUAGCACUAUAGAUGGUGUGGAAUGUGGUGGAGGUUGCAAGACAAAAAAGGAGAAGAUAGUCACAUUAACUAGGCAUAUCAAUGAGCUGUGGAGAUGCUCAUCAAUAUAUAUCAAUGUGAAUGAGUAGGGAUUGCCAUACAAAUGAUGCACUAGAGCUACGAGUAUGUGAAAGCUCUUAAAGAAAACUAGUGGGUGUGCAUCCAACUUGCUUGCUCACGAAGACCUAAGGCAACUUUGAGGAAGCCUAUCAUUGGAAUAUACAAGCCAAGUUAUAUAAUGAAAAUUUCCCACUAGCUAUAUGGUGGUGACAAAAUGAGAGACUCUCAAUCAUAAAGAUCAAGGUGCUUAAAAUUCAGAAGUGUGGAAAAAGUCGUAGCAUUGUCCCUUCUCUCUUUUUCUCUCAUUUUUUUUGGUGGGCUCUUUGGCCUCUUUUUUUCCUUUUUUUUGGUGGUCUUCUUUGGCCUCUUUUAUUUCCUCACAUGGGACAAUGCUCCAUUAAUGAUGAUCAUCACACUUUCAACUCAAAGCUUAGAGCAACUAUGACUCUAUAUGGAGUGCCUUCGGUAGUGUACCGUGGCAAUGAUCUAGCAUGGCAUAGACAUCAAUGGAAACAUCAUGCUAGCUAUCUUAGGAUCAUGCAAUGGCAAUGUAGACGUGGUGGCACAUGUCAUGGUGGUAGUUCCAUGGCAAUAUAUCUCGGAAUGACUUUGAAAAAGGCAUAGUAGGUAGGUAUGGUGGCUGUUUUGAGGGAGGCUAAUGGUGGGUUUUGUGCACCGGCGAAAGUUGCACGGCACUAAGAAUAUAGUGAUGGUGGUAGGUGAAAGUGCAUCUAAACCAUGGACUCAACAUUAGUCAUGACGAACUCAUAUACUUGUUGCAAAAGUUUUAUUAGUAAUCGAAACAAAGCAUUCAACGCAUACUCCUAGGGGAAGGGUUGGUAGGUAUAAACCAUCGCGUGAUCCCGACCGCCACGCAAAGGAUGACAAUCAAUAUACUAAUCAUGCUCAGGUUUCAUCACAUAGCGGUUCACCAUACGUGCAUGCUACGAGAAUCACUAACUUCAACACAAGUAUUUCUAGAUCCACAACACCUUACUAGCAUGACUUCAAUAUUACCAUAACCACAACUCAAAACUAAUUGAGAUGAAUCAAACUUCUCUAACUAUUCAAUGCACAUGAAGGUGGAAGUUUUCGUAUCCCUUUGGAUAACUACCCAUUUUGAGAUUACUUUCAAAGCAUAGAUCAACUACCAAGCCACGCACCGCUGUGCUCUAAAAGAUAUAAGUGAAGCACAUAGAGCAAAAGUAUCUAGCUCAAAAGAUAUAAGUGAAGCACAUGUGAGCUGAAUUGUCUACCAAAAGAUAUAGGUGAAGCUCGACAAAAUCACGGUGUGUGCAUGUCUCUCUCUCUAGGUGUGAAGCAAGGAUGAUUGUGACACAACAAAAAUAAAAGACUCCUAUGAUACAAGACGCCCCAAGCAAAAACACAUAACAUGUGGUGAAUAAAAUAUAGCGCCAAGUAACGUUACCGAUGGAUUGAAGACGAGAGAGGGGAUGCCUUCCCGGGGCAUCCCCAAGCUCAGGAUUUUACGGCAUUGUUGAAUAUCUUGGGGUGCCUUCGGCAUCCCCAAGCUUGAGCUCUUGCCACUCUUUAUAUCUUUGUCCAUAAGAACUUCACCCAAAACUUGAAAACUUCACAACACGAAACUUAAACAGAAUCUCGUGAUAACAUUAGUACAAGAAAGCAAACCACCACUUCCUUAGGUACUGUAGCAAACUUAAAUUAUACUUGUGCUGAUGUUGGGUUACUGUACUUUCAAUCUUCCAUGGCUAAUACCCCCCGAUACUAUCCAUAGUUUCAUCAAAAUAAGCAACCAACACAACAAAAACAGAAUCUAUUAACAGCAGACCAGUCUGUAGCAAUCUGUAUAUUUCGUAUACCUCUGGUACUACAAAAAUUCUGAACAAUUACGACAGUAUGAAGAAUUUGCGUAUCAAUCAGCAGCAAGAAGAAUCAACUCAAAAGCUCUUACAGCAAAACAAUGAAAAUUAUUUUCGUGAGCAGAAAGUUUCUGUCUUUUCCAACAUGACCAAACGAUCAUCCCCAAGACUAAUCAUAACGGUUUUGCUUGGCACAAACGCAAAAAGAAACACAAAAAACACAAUUUUAACAUAAUCAUGAAAGUGUGGAAAACACAAAACAGAAAGAAAAAGGAUAGAUUCGUUGGGUUGCCUCCGAACAAGCGCUUUUGUUUAACGCCCUUAUCUAGGCAAAAAGUGAUGGAAUCACGUAUAGUCAUCUUUGGUGCUCAAACCAUAGGUAGCCCUCAUCAUAGAUUCAUAAGGCAAGCUUAUUUUCUUUCUAGGAAAGUGCUCCAUGCCCUUUUUUAAAGGAAAUUGAAAUCUAAUAUUCCCUUCCUUCAUAUCGAUGAUAGCACCAAUAGUCCUUAGGAAAGGUCUACCAGGAAUAAUGGGACAUGAAGGAUUGCAAUCUAUGUCAAGUACAAUGAAAUCAACGGGUACAUAGUUCUUAUUUGCAACAAUAAGAACAUCAUCGAUCCUUCCCAUGGGUUUCUUGACAGUAGAAUCCGCAAGAUGCAAAUUAAGAGAACACUCUUCAAUCUCAUGAAAACCAAGAAUAUCACAUAAAGACUUUGGAAUCGCGGAAACACUAGCACCCAAAUCACAGAAAGCAUUGCACUCAUAGUUUUUGAUUUUGAUUUUGAUAGUAGGUUCCCACUCAUCAUGAAGUUUUCUAGGUAUAUAGACUUCUAUUUCGAGCUUCUCUUCAAGAGAUUUCAUCAUAGCAUAUACGAUAUGCGCGGUAAAGGCUUUGCUUUGGCUAUAAGCAUGUGGAGAGUUUGCAAUGGAUUGCAUGAAAGAAAUGCAUUCAAACAAGGAGCAAUUAUCAUAAUUGAAUUCCUUCAAAUCCAAAGUGGGAGUUUCAUUACUACCCAAAAUUUUGACUUCUUCUACUCCACUCUCCACACCUUUAUCAUCAAGAUAGGUGGACUCCGAAUCAUUGAGGCGUUUUUCAACCAAAGUGGGUUCAUAUCCAGCCCCUCCAUAAGUAGGUUUGACGCGCGAAAACAAAGAUGCAAGAGGAGACACACCAAGCACUUUAAGAUCUUCGUGAUUUGCAUCACUAGAACGCACCCUUUUAAACCAUUCAUGUCUAGCGCGAAUUUUGGCGGUUCUUUCUUUGCUCUCAUUCAUGGCGAUACGCAUAGCUUUCAAAGUUUCAUCCAAGUUGACCUUGGGAGGAGCUCAUCUAACUUUCAAAGCAUCAAUAUCACAAGACAUCCUAUCAACGCUUUUAGCCAAAUCGUCUAUUUUGAGUAGUUUUUCCUCUAUGGACGCACUGAAAAUCUUUUGAGAGUUGAUGAACUCUUUGAUAUUACUCUCUAGAUCAGAGGGUAAUUUGUUGUGAUUUCCAUAAGUAUUGUUGUAGGAAUUGCCAUAAUUGUUAGAGGAGUUACUAGGAAAAGGCCUAGGAACAUAGUUUCCUCUAAAAGCAUUAUUGUUGCCAAAAUUGUUCCUACCAACCAAAUUCACGUCCAAACUAGCAUUGCUACUCUCAAUCAAAGAAGAUAAUGGCAAGCUAUUAGGAUCUACGGUAGCGUUUCUACUAGCAACCAAAUUCAUCAACUCGUCCGUCUUAGCACUAAGCGAGUUAAUUUCUUCUAUAGCGUGCACCUUUUUGCUAGCAGGCGACCUUUCAGUGUGCCACUGAGAGUAGUUGGUCAUGAUAUUGUCUAUGAGUUUUGUAGCGUCUCCUAACGUGAUUUCCAUGAACGCUCCACCUGAGGCGGAGUCCAAGAUAUUGCGAGAAGCGAAAUUCAAGCCAACGUAAAAGAUUUGUAUAAUCAUCCACAAACUCAAGCCAUGAGCGGGACAAUUUCUAAUCAUAAGCUUCAUCCUCUCCCAAGAUUGUGCAACGUGUUCAUGAUCAAGUUGCUUGAAAUUCAUGAUAUCGUUACGUAAGGAGAUGAUCUUAGCCGGCGGAAAAUACUUGGAUAUGUAAGCAUCUUUGCACUUAUCCCAAGAAUCGAUACUAUUUAUUUGCAAAGAAGAAAACCAAGUUUUUGCGCGAUCUCGCAACGAGAAAGGAAAAAAGUUUCAACUUAAUCACGUCAUUACCCACAUCUCUUUUCUUAUGCAUGUCACAAAUCUCAAUGAAGGUAUUGAGAUGGGAUGCGGCAUCUUCACUAGGAAGGCCAGAGAAUUUCUCUUUCAUAACAAGAUUCAGCAAAGCUGCGUUGAUUUCAUACGAUUCCGCACUAGCAGCGGGAGCAAUCGGACUACUAAUAAAAUCAUUAUUAUUAGUGAUCGAGAAGUUGCAAAGUUUGGUGUUUUCAACCAUGAUGACUUCAACAAACAAACAAGCACACAAGCAAGCGAGAAAACCGGCAAAGGGAAACGACAAAGGCAAAAGAAAACGGCGAAGGAGAAAGGCAAAUGAAAACGACAAAUGUGAAGUGGGGGAGAGGAAAACGAGAGGCAACUGGCAACAAAAGUAAAUGCAAGAGAAGAGUUUGCGAGACCUACUUGGAUAGAUCUUGAUUUCUUCUCCCCGGCAAUGACACCAUAAAUACUUCUGCUACUGCAACAAAAGACCUUCCAAUGGCGCCAGAAAUAGGCACGUUGACGGGAGAAUACAUGGCUUGAUCCUUCUGCUGCGGCUACGCCUUAAGGGACUUCCUAGGCAAGUAUGCAAAGGAUUUCCCCCGUGGCCUUGGAGCCUUGCGUUGGUGUUCCCUCGAAGCGGAAAGGGUGAUGUAGCGUAGCGGUGGUAAGUAUUUCCCUCAGCUUGAGAACCAAGGUAUCAAUCCAGUGGAGGAGUAUCUCAAGAUCCUGCACAAACACAAAAGCUUGCUCCCAACGCUAUGAAGGGUUUGUCAAUCCCUUAUAGAUUGUUUACCAAGUGAGAACUGAAAGCAACAAAGUAACAAAGCAAAGUAAAAGCGGAGGUGUAAACGAUGGAUGUGAAUAGACCCGGGGGCCGUAGUGUUUACUAGUGGCUUCUCUCAUUGUAGUGCCCCGGAUGUAAACCUACCCUAUUUGGACCUACUUCAUGUGGGACCACCUUGACUUUGUCAUGAGAGUUAUCUAUGCAUGUAUGAUUUCAUGUGUCACCUUGUGUUCUUCUUUUGCAUGCAUGCAUCCAUGUCAUACCUUUCUUACCAUGCCUUGUGUGCUUGCUUCUAUACCUUGCCAUGUCUUGGAGUGGGCCUUGUAAUUUCAUGUGUUGAUGUCAUGUGAUGAUGGUGUGUGGAGUGUAGGAGUGGUUGCUUGGGAUUUUCAAAGCUCAUUGCAAUUUCAAACCCUUUUUCCUCUCCUAUUAUCUCAUGUUCAAAAUUCCAUCUUCACAAAAGCUGUUUUAAAUGUCUGGUGUUUAGAGGUUAUUGUGGAGAUGAUGAUGUGAUGGUGUGGAGUUUUAUUUUGGUCUUGAGGGUGAAUAUAAAUCACAAAACAGUAUAAUUAAUUGCUGUUUUGUAUUUAUUUAAAUGCCCCAUAAAAUUCCUUUUGCAUUUUAUUUAAAAAGCUUAGGUAUUUUUAGGCCCAGGGUCAUUUUUGUUUUGAUUUUAUAAUCAGUAGUAGCCCUGUGGUUUUUAUUUUCUUUCUCUGUAAUUUAUCUAAUUAGAAAUAAAUCUCCAGGGCUGUUUCUCUAUUUUCUUCUCUGGUGGGCUUCCCCCCACUCAGAGAGGCCCAGUGUCUCCUCUCCCCCUCGCGCAGCGCAGCCCACCGCGUCCCUCUUCCUCCUCCCGUCGACGUCACGCUGUACGACUCCUCCUCCUCCACCGAUUUGCCAUGGCUUGAUCCUGUGGCUCAAGCGCCUCCCCCGAGGUAAUAUAAGGUGGAGGGAACCUUCCUCCUCCCCUAGGGUUCGCUCUCCUUCCCGCAGCGCCGCCACCACCUCCCUCCUUUUCUUCUCCCUCUCCCUGAUAAGUCCUCUGUAGAGUAGGAACAGAGAGAGAGAGAGAGUUCGGCCGCCGCGUCUACCCCGUCUACUCCAUUGAGCAGCGCCGGCGGCCAUGUCAAGGGGCACGGGGACGGUCCCCGCGCUCCAUUUUCGUCCUCGGUGAGGUCGAGGGUCAUCUACAACGCCGGCCAGGAGCACGUCAAGGCGCCUGCUCCGGUGUUCUGCUCCGUCUACCUCCGUCGUCAGCAACCGGCAGCAGGGCCUUCUCCCGCGCGCCUCCCUCCUCUCCGGCCGGCGUCCACCACCGAGCGGCUACUCCUUCUUCCCCCGAGGUGAGCCGGCCCUCUCCUCCCUUCGCCCUCGUUGGAUCCGACGAGUCGGUUGCAGGAAGUCCCUGCCGUGCGGUAGCACCAGGUGUUGAUGCAGUCUGGAGCUUUACAUGUUGUGUGCAGUAGCAGUAGCAGUAGGAAGUUCUUCCUCCUCGUGGUGCAGCAGCGUAGCGUCUUGUUCUCCCCGCGACGCAGCAGCAGUAGCAGCAGUGCGGUGCACCGGCGGCCUCGCUGUUGCCGGCGCACCUCCGUGCAGUGCAGGCACGCAGCAGCAGUAGUAUUUUUCCCAAUACUACUCUAGUCUGUGAGAAGCCGUUUCGUAGCCCAGUGGUAACUAGCGUUGCGUGCCUGUUGGAGGGCGCGGGUUCGAUCCCCCCUCGGCGCUAUUUUUGUUUUCUAUUUUUCCUGCACAGUAGCAUCAGGUACAUGUUAGCCUGAUUGCCUACCCUACCUUGUCAACGAAGUGGCAGUGGUGUAGUGGUAGGCUCUGUUGUUGUGUACCAGGAGGUACUGGUUUCGAUUCCCAGGAGCGUGAUGCAUAUUUCUGUUUUUUUGUUUGCUUUCCUUUUAUUUUUUGUUGCUUCCUUUUUCUUAGGAAUAGACAGCAAGGUGUCCUAUUUAAUAUUUUUCCUGCUGGUGUAGAUGGGUGCUGAUUGUGUUGUGUGUGUGUUUUGCACACUAAUAUGGUGAUAGAUGGUGUUGGUGGCUUAAGUGAUAUGUGUGUGCAUGUGGUCUUGUUAGUUUAUGUUGGUGUGAUUGCAAGUAGGCAUGUGUGCAUAGGGGUUGUAAGUGAAGUUGCUGGUGUAGGUAUGGAGAUGUGUUUGUUCUGAGUGCACACACUUGUGGUACCUACUAAAAGUGUUUGAGAGGUGAUGCUUCCAAGUUACUUGCUUAGCAUUUUUCCCCCUCGUGUUGUUCUCUGGUUUAAGAGCAUGAUGUUGAUGUAUAUGAUGUGCUUGACAUAUGUGUGUGUGGGGAACUUCCCCACCUUUGCAAAACUAUGCACCUUCACAUGUUUAUAUGUGAGAGGGCAUGGUGUUUGUGUGUGGGGAUAGUUUGGUAGAUGUGCUUGUGAUGUUGAUGUGCAUGACACAAACAUGGGGUUCAAACCCCCAUGUGACUUUUUCAUUGUGCACAUGAACCCAACCUUUGUAGUUGUUGUCUUAGUAGGAUACCUUAUGGAGUUGACAUAUUCAGAUUUGUUGCAAGUUUGAUCUUUGAUUCCAUCUCUAGACUUGUUAUGUUAGUUUCGUUUCCAUGUCAUAGUGCUCGCUGUCUACCACUGAAAUUAAAUUGCCUCUUGAAAUGCCAUGAGCCCAAACAUCGUUCUCCUUCCUAGCAAACUUGUGUGGCUAAGUAGGCUUGCUCAGCUACUAAUGUUAGCAUUGCUAGUUGCAGGUGUUUUUGACUCAUGUGAUAAAGAUGAGCUUGAUAUCAUUAUCUUAAAUUCUGUUAUUUAAUUAAUGCACCUAUAUACUUGGUAAAUGACGGGAGGCCUAGCCUUUUUCCGGGUGCUUUGUUCCGUUAUUGCCACCUUAGUUAUCGGUUACCGGUGUUUGAUUCCAUAAUGAUCGCUCCUAACACGUUCGGGGUUGUUAUGGGGACCCCCUCGAUAAAUCGCGUAGUACUAAGGCUUGUCCGGCAGGACCCAACAUUGCUAUUAAUUUGCUAAUCACUUAAUAAUAAACUGCAUAGGGAAUAGCUACCCCAAGGAUUUAAUCAACAACCCGGGCCAGUGCUCCUCAUGAGUGUUGGUCCAAACUGGGCAGACUAUGGGGCCACCACAGGGCAACCUGAGGUUUGGUAUACCUGUAGUGUGACUCAUCCGGCGUGUCCUGAGACUGAGAUAUGCGGCUCUUAUCAGGGUCGCCGACACGUCGGGAGGUCCUGCUAGCAUUGCCUUACCUUAGCGGUAUAUCUUGCGUAUAGGAAUCCCAGUGAAGCUUUGGUUCCCCCAGAGUUGAGGUUUUCCUCUAAGGAAUCCGACGAGAUCACGAGAUUCGUGAUAGAGGAUGCCUUUGCGGCCUGUGUUCGUUUGUGAUGGAGUAGUUGGAGCACCCCUGCAGGGUUUAAUCUUUCGGAAAGCCGUGCCCGCGGUUAUGUGGAAACUUGGAAUAUUUUGUUAACAUCCGGUAUUAGAGAACUUAAACAUAAACUAAUAAAACUGCCAACUGUGUGCGUAACCGUGACUGUCCCUUCGAAGAUCUCUCUUCGAUCGGGAACACGGUGGGGUUAUGAAUGCCGUAGGUAGGUGUUCAGGAUCACUUAGUGAUCAAGUAAUCCCGACCGCUAGCGUAGACCACCUUCACUUCUACUUUGCGUAAGUUAGCCACUUAAUCAAGCUUAGGAUGCUGCAGCCUGAUACACUUCACCCUUACCUUACCCAAUAACAUGACUAGUUCUGGCACCAAGGUCUUGGAUUGUUGAGUCCCCGUGGCUCACGGAUUCCUCCGAAACUCCCAGCAGGUACAGGUACCCCAGAGACAGAUGAUCCCGACGGCACCCAGCUGGCGUGGCAGUACGACGAGGAGACAGACCGCCUCUACGUGAACUAUCCAGAGGACUGAGGCGUGGUCGUGAUCGUGGGCCUGCAGGUAGGGUAGCAUAGCAUUUUCCAUGUGUUGUAGUCCGUAGCGGAACUACCUUGUUUGUAUCUGUGUUGUAUUCUGAGUUAUUAAUAAGAAGAUAGUUGAAUCCCGAAUUGGCUACUGGUAUUAUUUUUUGUGCUAUGUUACUUGCGAAACGCUUAGAUGCGCUUCUUUCCUAUUUGGGGGCCUCGACCCCCAGAUCGGAAAGGACCACAUCUUAGUCGUUACAGUCAUGAAAGCAAGUAGAUGGUGGGUGAACAAAUUACUGUCGGCAAUUAAUAGAACCGCGCAAAGUCGUGACGAUAUCUAUGGCAAUGAUUAUAUCUAUAGGCAUCACGUCCAAAACAAGUAGACCGAUACUUUCUGCAUCUACUACUAUUACUCCACACAUCGACCGCUGUCCAGCAUGCAUCUAGUGUAUUAAGUCCAUAAGAACAGAGUAACGCCUUAAGCAAGAUGACAUGAUGUAGAGGGAUAAUCUCAAACCAAUGAUGAAAACCCCAUCUUUUUACCCUUGAUGGCAACUACUUAAUGUGUGCCUUGCUGCCCCUACUGUCACUGGGAAAGGUCACCACAUGGUAGAACCCAAGACCAAGCACUUCUCCCAUUGCAAGAAUCAUAGAUCUAGUUGGCCAAACAAAACCCUAGACUCGGAGAGAGUUACAAGGAUAUCAAAUCAUGCAUAUAAGAAAUCAGUAAAGACUCAAAUAUAUAUCAUAGAUAAUCUGAUCACAAAUCCACAAUUCAUCGGAUCUCGACAAACACACCGCCAAAGAAGAUUACAUCGGAUAGAUAUCCAUGAAGAUCAUGGAGAACUUUGUAUUGAAGAUCCAAGAGAGAGAAGAAGCCAUCUAGCUACUAACUACAGACCCGUAGGUCUGAAGUGAACUACUCACGAGUCAUUGGAGGGGCGAUGAUGAUGAUGAAGAAGCCCUCCAACUCCAAAGUCCCCUCCCGCAGGGCGCCGAGAAGGGUCUCCAGGUGAGAUCUCGCGGAAACAGAAGCUUGCGGCGGCGGAAAAGUAUUUUCGAGGCUCCCCUGAUUUUUUCCAGAAUUUUUGGGAAUAUAUAGGCCAAGGAUCUAGGUCAGGGUGCGGCCAGGGAGGCCAUAAGCCGUGACACCGCCGCCUCCCCCCUGGUGGCGGAGUGGGAGCUUGUGGGCUCCUUGGAGCCACCUGGCUUGGCCCAGAGGCCCCGUGUUCUUCUUCCGUUCAGGAAACAAACAUUUUGGGUUUUUAUUCCGUUUGGACUCCGUUCCAAAAUUAGAUCUGAAAAGAGUCAAGAACAUAGAUAAAACAAGAACUAGCACUUGGCACUGAAUUAAUAAGUUAGUCCCAAAAAAGAUAUAAAAGGUACAUAAAACAUCCAAAGAUGACAAGAUAACAGCAUGAAACCAUCAAAAAUUAUAGAUACGUUUGAGACGUAUCAGGGCCCGAGUGCCAUGAUUUCAGAUCUGAACCUAUUUUGUUGUCGCAAAUAUAUGUGUGUUUUAGAUCCUAUCUUGCAAGUUGUAGUCACCUACUAUGUGUUAUGACCCUACAACCCCGGAGUGACAAUAGCCGGAACCACUCCCGGAGAUGACCAUAGUAUGAGGAGUUCAUGUAUUCACCGCGUGUUAAUGUGUUGGUCCGGUUCUUUAUUAAAAGGACAACCUUAAUAUCCCGUAGUUUCCAUUAGGACCCCGCUGACAUGGGAGGGAUGGACAAUAGAUGUCAUGCAAGUUGUUUUCCCUAAGCACGUAUGACUACAUACGGAAUACAUGCCUACAUUAGAUUGACGAACGGGAGCUAGUUACAUAUCUCUCCGUGUUAUAGUUGUUACAUGAUGAAUCACAUCCGUCACACUCAUCCAUCACCAAUCCACUGCCUACGAGUCUUUUACUACUGGUCCUCGCUACGUUACUUUGUCUAGGCUUGUCCUUUGCUCAAAAGGGAUUGGGCCACUCUGUUGCUACUGCUGUUACUCUGCUGCUGCUGCUACUGCUGUUCCUUGCUACUUCGCAGUUAAUUGUUGCAAGAUCCUUUUUCGUCAACAUUGUCGGGCAACUUACUGGCGCCAUUGAUACAAUAGUUAGGAAUAGUCUGCCGUCAACAGAUCGUUUCUGGCACCGUUUCUAUCAUACCACUUUGCUACUGAUACUUUGCUUGGAGAUACUAAUAUUUCAGGUGUGGUUGAAUAUGACAAACUCAGCUACUAAUACUUGAGAAUAUUCUUUCUCUUCUCCUUUGGCGAACCAACAAAUUUGGGUUGAAUACUCUACCCUCGAAAACUGUUGUGACCCCCUACACCUGUGGGUUAUCAAGGCUUUUUCUAGCGCCAUUCCCGGGGAAGCACAACUAUAUUCUCUGAGUCACUUGGGAUUUUCGUCUGCUGAUCACUAUGAGGAAUUCGAAAGAUCCAAGAACUAAAAUCUUGCCUUCCACUACGAGGAGAGGUAAGGAAUUGCCAUCUAGCUCUGCACUUGAUUCACCUUCCGUUAUGAGUAAGUUUGCGACUACGCCUCCUGCUAGAAAUCUUGAUAUGUUGCCUGUGCUUGAUGAUGCUACUUCUGCUGCCCAGGAUGCUUAUGAUGAUGCUAUGCUUGAUACUAUGCUUGAUGAUGCCAUGCUUGAUACUAUGCCUGAUGAUGCCAUGUUUGAUACUAUGCCUGAUGAUGCUAUGCUUGAUACAAUGCCUGAUGAUGCUAUGCUUGAUACUAUGCCUGUUAUGCCUGAUACUGCUUUGCCACUUGGUGCAUUCCUUGAUGCACAUAUUGCUAGAGUUGCUGCUAGAUGUGAUGAUACUUCUGAAAUUGCUCAUACUAUUGAAGUAGAACCUGCUACUAUGCCUGAAUUGCCUGUUAUGCCUGAUACGCGCUAUGUUAUGGAGGGAGAGAUAGAUGAGGACUUUCUUGCGUGUAAGGAUAGCUAUGAUGUUGAGAAAUUACUGCGCAAGUGGAAAGAAAAAAUCUCUGAACGCUAGGAUGAAAUACGACCCGAAGUUUGCCACUUCGCCUAUCUUCGUGACCGAUAAGGAUUAUGAAUUCUCUGUCGACCCUGAGUUAAUCACUCUAGUUGAAUCUGAUCCUUUUCACAGUUAUGAUUCUGAAACGGUUGUAGCCCACCUUACCAAACUGCACGAUAUAGCCACACUAUUCACUAGUGAGGAAAAUAUCUGCCACUACUAUAUGCUCAAGUUAUUUCCUUUCUCGCUAAAGGAUGAUGCUAAGACUUGGUUCACUUCUCUUGCUCCUGGUUGUGUGCGUAGCCCCCAGGAUAUGGUCUACUACUUCUCCGAAAAAUAUUUCCCUGCCCAUAAGAAGCAAGCUGCCUUGCAGGAAAUAUACAACUUUGCUCAAGCUGAAGAAGAGAGUCUCCCACAAGCUUGGGGGAGGCUUAUCCAGCUACCGAAUGCUUUGCCUGAUCACCCUCUUGAGAAGAAUGAAAUACUUGAUAUCUUCUAUAAUGGACUUACCGAUGCUUCCAAAGACCACUUAGAUAGUUGUGCCGGCAGUGUUUUUAGGGAACGAACUGUAGAACAAGCUGAGAUUCUGUUGAACAACAUCUUGUGCAAUGAGAAUGCUUGGACUAUUCCCGAACCACCUCCUAAGCCAAAUCCGAAGAAAAGAGGUAUUAUAUUCUUCAGUCCUAAAGAUGUGCAAGAAGCCAAUAAAUCUAUGCGAGAGAAAGGCAUUAAAUCUGAAGAUGUCAAAAAUCUACCACCUAUCGAAGAGAUCCAUGGUCUCGAUAACCCGAUACAGGUAGUAGAAGUAAAUUAUCUGCGUUGGUUUGAUGAAAGUGAUAUUCCUUUUGAUAAACCUGCUAGCCUAUUGAUGGAUGAAUUUGAUAACUUCGUUGCCAAACAACAGAGUUUCAAUGAUUAUGUUAGCAUACAAUUGGAAAAGAAUACUCGUAUGCUUAGUCAUUUAAGUGCUUGUGUGGACAGAAACGUCAAUGAUCUUAAGCUUAUGAGUAAACAUGCCUCUAUGGUUACUACUCAGGUAGAACAAGUACUUAAAGCUCAAAAUGACUUGCUCAAUGAGUUGAAUGACAAUUCCGUCAGAGUCGUCACUAGAGGCGGUAGAAUGACCCAGGAACCUCUGUAUCCUGAGGGUCAUCCGAAGUGAAUUGAACAAGAUUCUCAAGGAGUUAGCACUGAUGCACCUAGUCAUCCUGGAAAUAAGAAGAAAGAUGAUAGGAACCUGCAUGCUAGCAACCCUGUUGCUGCUACACCUGAGAGUCCAAACGAUUCCUCUAUCUCUGAUGUUGAAACACAAUCUGGUGAUGAACAUGAUCCUAAUGAUGAUCUCAAUAGUGAUGUUUGAUACGUCUCCAGCGUAUCUACUUUUCCAAACUCUUUUGCCCUUGUUUUGGACUCUAAUUUGCAUGAUUUAAAUAGAACUAACCUGGACUGACGUUGUUUUCAGUAGAAUUGCCUUGGUGUUAUUUUUGGGCAGAAAUCAAAGUUCUCCAAACGCCCUGAAAAUCUACGGGGAGCAGUUUUGGAAAAUACAAAAAAUAUCUGCGCCAAGUUCCACCUGAGGGGGGUGGGCCAGUGGGCCACAAGACCUGGCUCCGCCACCACCCCCUGGUGGCGGUGGACAGGCUUGUGGGGCCCACACGGCUCUGCCGCCCCGAAUCUCACGUCUAUAAGAUUCCUUUCGUCCCAGAAAAAAGAGAAGUUCUCGUCGCGUUUACGAUACGGAGGCGCCGCCACCACAUGUUCUUCAUCUGGAGGGCAGAUCUGGAGUCCGUCUUGGGCUCCGGAGAGGGGAAAUCAUUGCCAUCGUCGUCAUCAACCUUCUUCCCUCUCCAAUUCCAUGAAGCUCUUUGUCGUUCGUGAGUAAUCUAUUCGUAGGCUCGCUGGGCAGUGAUGAGUAGGAUGAGAUCUAUCAUGUAAUCGAGUUAGUUUUGAUGGGGAUUGAUCCCUAGUAUCCACUAUGUUCUGAAAUUGAUGUUGCUACUACUUUGCCAUGCUUAAUGCUUGUCACUAGGGCCCGAGUGCGAUGAUUUCAGAUCUGAAAUUAUUAUGUUGUCACCAAUAUAUGUGUGUUUUAGAUCCGAUCUUGCAAGUUGUAGUUACCUACUAUGUGUUAUGAUCCGGCAACCCCGGAGUGACAAUAACCGGAACCACUCCCGGUGAUGACCAUAGUUUGAGGAGUUCAUGUGUUCACCAAGUGCUAAUGCGUUGGUCCGGUUCUUUAUUAAAAGGAGAACCUUAAUAUCCCGUAGUUUCCUUUUGGACCCGUUGCCACGGGAGGGAUGGACAAUAGAUGUCAUGCAAGUUCUUUUCCCUAAGCACGUAUGAUGACACACGGAAUGCAUGCCUACAUCACAUUGACGAACGGGAGCUAGCCACAUAUCUCUCCGUGUUAUAACUGUUGCAUGAUGAAUAUCAUCCAAACAAAUCACCGACCCAUUGCCUACGAGUUUGUCCUACUGCUGCUGUUACUUGCCUUGCUCUGUUGUUGUUACUGUUGUUGCUACUGAUGUUACUUGUCCUGCUCUGCUGCUAAUGUUGCUACUACUGUCGCUUGCUUCUGUUGCUACUUGCUACUGCUGUCACUACUGCUUUUCCUUGCCGCUGCUAUUGCUCGUUACACUGCUGCUACCUGCUACAAUUUUGGUUCGCUGGUCGUUGACGGGAACUGACAACUUCCGUCAACGAGGCAACUUGGCGCCAUUGAUACAAUUGUUAGGAAUAGUCUGCCGUCAACAGAUCGUUUCUAACACCGUUGUUAUCAUACUACUUUGCUACUGAUACUUUGCUUGUAGAUACUAAUCUUUCAGGUGUGGUUGAAUCUGACAUAUUCAGUUGCUAAUACUUGAGAGUAUCCUCUCACCUCCUAUAGGCGUACCAACAAAUUUGGGUUGAAUACUCUACCCUCGAAAACUGCUACGAUCCCAUGCGCUUGUGGGCCGUCAACAACAUUCUUCUAGUUUCGAUUGUUGGAGUGUGCUAGCUGCAUUCUUCUGGUGCCGUUGCAAGGGGAAGAAUAGUUGACAUCAAGCAUUUUUCUGGCACUGUUGCCGGGGAGGUAUUGCUAUAUUCUCUGAGUCACUUGGGAUUUAUAUCUGCUGAUCACUAUGAAGAAUGUGAAGGAUCCGAAGACCAAAGUCUUUCCCUCAACUACGAGGGGAGGUAAGGAAUUGCCAUCUAGCUCUGCACUUGAUUCACCUUCAGUUAUGAGUAAGUUUGCGACAUCACCUCCUGCUAGAAAUCUUGAUAUGUCGCCUGUGCUUGAUGAUGCUUAUGAUGCUACUGCUAGAGAUGAUGUGCUUGAUACUAUGCCUGAUGAUACUAUGCUUGAUACUAUGCAUGAUGAUACUAUGCUUGAUACUAUGCCUGAUACUACUAGAGAUGCUAUGCUUGAUACUGCUAGAGAUGCUAUGCUUGAUACUGCUUUGCCUGAUGAUGCUAGAGAUGCUAUUUUGCCUUAUGAUGCUAUGCUUGAUACUCCUAGAGAUACUACUUUGCCUGAUGUUCCACUAGGGGUAUUCCUUGAUGCUCAUAUUGCUAGAGUUACUACCAAUGCCUGUGAUGCUUCUGAAACUGCCGAUACUAUUGAGAUGGAACCUGCUUUUGCUACUGUUACAUCCAGCUCUCCUAGAUACGAAUUGCCUGAUAUACCUGAGGGUUAUGUUAUGGAGGGAGAGAUAGCUAAUGAUUUUCUUGCGUGUAAGGAUGCCUGUGACGCUGAGAAAUUACUUCUCAAGUGGAAGGAAAAAUCUCGGGAAGCUAAGAUGAAAUAUGACCCGAAGUUUGCCACUUCACCUAUCUUUAUCACCGAUAAGGAUUAUGAAUUCUCCGUCGAUCCUGAGAUAAUCUCUCUAGUCGAAUCUGAUCCUUUUCACAGUUAUGAGUCUGAGACGGUCAUAGCCCAUCUUGCCAAACUACACGAAAUAGCCAACCUUUUCACUAAUGAGGAGAAGAUCCGCCACUACUAUAUCCUUAAGUUGUUUCCUUUCUCUCUAAAGGAUGAUGGUAAAGCCUGGUUCACCUCUCUUGCUCCUGGAUGUGUGAGAAGUCCCCAGGAGAUGGUCUAUUACUUCUGUGAGAAAUAUUUCCCUUCCCACAAGAAGCAAGCCGCCUUGCAGGAAAUAUACAACUUCGCUCAACUCCAAGAAGAGAGUCUUCCACAAGCUUGGGGGAGGCUCGUCCAGCUACAGAAUGCUUUGCCUGAUCACCCUCUUAAGAAGAACGAGAUACUUGAUAUCCUCUAUAACGGACUUACCGAUGCCUCUAGAGACCACCUAGAUAGUUGUGCCGGUUGUGUUUUUAGGGAACGAACUGUAGAACAAGCUGAGACUCUACUGAAUAACAUCUUGAUCAACGAUAAUGCUUGGACUAUUCCCGAACCACCUCCUAAGCCAACUUCGAAGAAAAGAGGUAUUCUAUUCCUCAGUCCCGAAGAUAUGCAAGAAGCCAAGAAAUCUAUGCAAGAGAAAGGCAUUAGAUCUGAAGAUGUCAAAAAUCUACCACCUAUCAAAGAGAUCCAUGGUCUCGAUAACCCGAGACAGGUAGUAGAAAUGAAUUCUCUACGUAGGUUUGAUGAGAGUGAUAUUCCUUUUGAUAAACCUUCUAGCCUAUGCUUUGAUGAAUUUGACAACUUCGUUGCCAAACAACAGAGUUUCAAUGAUUAUGUUAGCAGACAUUUGGAACAAACUACUCGUAUGCUUAGCCAUUUAAGUGCUUGUGUAGACAGAAAUGUCAAUGAUCUGAAGCUUCUGAGUAAACAUGCCUCUAUGAUUACUACUCAGGUAAAACAAGUACUUAAAGCUCAGAAUGACCUGCUCAAUGAAUUAAAUGACAACUCUGUCAGAGUCAUUACUAGAGGAGGCAAAAUGACUCAGGAACCUUUGUAUCCUGAAGGUCAUCCUAAGAGAAUUGAUCAAGAUUCUCAAGGAAUGAAUGCUGAUACACCCAGUCAUCCUAAGGAGAAGAACAAGGAUGAUAGAAACCUGCAUGCCACUUCACAAAAUAUUUUCACACCUGAAGAACCUAAUGAUAUUUCUGCGUCUGAUGCAGAAACACAAUCUGGUGAUGAACAUGAACCUGGUGACAAUAUGGACAGUGAUGUUCAUAAUAAUGCUCAAUCUAGCAAUGAUGAGGAUGUGGAGAUUGAACCUACGGUUAAUCCUGAUAACCCACAACCUAAGAGAUACGAUAAGAACGACUUCACUGCUAGGAAGCAUGGUAAAGAAAGGUAGCCAUGGGUUCAGAGACCUAUGCCCUUUCCUCCUAAGCCAUCCAAGAAAAAGGAUGAUGAGGAUUUUGACCGUUUCGUUGAGAUGAUAAGACCCAUCUUUUUGCAAAUGCGUUUGACGGAUAUGCUCAAGAUGUCUCCGUAUGCUAAGUACAUGAAAGAUAUUGUGACUAAUAAGAGGAGGAUACCUGAGGUUGAGAUUUCCACCAUGCUUGCUUAUUAUACCUUCAAGGGUGGAACUCCUAAGAAACUAGGUGAUCCCGGUGUGCCCACUAUACCUUGCUCCAUUAAAGGCAACUACGUUAGAACUGCGUUAUGCGAUCUUGGAGCCGGUGUUAGCGUUAUGCCUCUCUCUCUUUAUCGUAGACUUGAACUGGAUAAGUUGACACCCACUGGAAUCUCUCUGCAAAUGGCCGACAAAUCAACUGCUUUCCCUAUCGGCAUUUGCGAGGAUGUGCCUCUUGUUGUUGCUAAUGUCAGUAUCUUAACAGACUUUGUUAUCUUGGAUAUUCCCGAGGACGAUGCCAUGGCUGUCAUCCUCGGAAGACCCUUUUUAAGCACAGGAGAGGCUGGUAUAGAUUGCAACAAAGGCAAUGUCACUUUCCAUGUCAAUGGUAAUGAGCAUACGGUGCACUUUCCGAAGAAACAAUAUCGAGUACAUUGCAUCAAUGCUAUCGAAAAAACUUCAUCGAUUCUUAUUGGGAGCUUUGAAUGCCCUAUUCCUCGUGUCAAGAUUAGGUAUGAUUUGCUUGUUGGGGAGAUACACAUCCCCAUUGAGGUGACCUAGUGACUAUUUGAAAAUUCUUCGUUCUCUAUUGCGAUUCGAAAAGGUUUGUCGAGGAGACUUGAUCAACCUCAUUGGCGGAUUUUCUUUCGAUGACCGUGAGAUGGAUGAAUCGAGGAGUCACAAUCCUCUAUUGAAAGUUUCCACUUUAGGUUGCUUAGAAGAAAAUUGAUAGAUUUGGUUUAGUUUUCCUUGUUUUCUGUUUUAGCUUCCGGUGGAAAAGUACCCCGAAAAUAAAAGUUCUCCGAACGCUGUGAAAAUCAAGUAUGAUUUUUUCUGGAAUUUUUGAAAACUUCUGGGACAAAGAGUCUGUCUGGGGGCCACACCAGUGGGCCACAAGCCCUAGUGGCGCGGGAACCCCCCUGGCCGCGCCACCCAAGUUUGUGGGGCCCACAGGCACCCCCUCCACUCAUUCUUGCUCUCAUAUGCUUCUCCUACCUCUAGAAAAUAUUGUUUCGCAGCUCAACCCGUGUUCUUGCUCCUCUUGCUGGGAUUUUCGAUCUCUUUGCUCAAAUCACCGUUCUCCGAACUGUUUUGGGGAAAUUACUCCUUGGUAAGUGACUCCUCCAUUGGUCCAAUUAGUUUUUGCUCUAGUGUCUUAUACUCCGCGUAUUUUUGCUGCCUUGGUGACCAUGUUCUUGCGCUUUGCAUGCUAAUUCUAGCUUAUCCAAAGUAGUUUUGAUGCGUAAUAUGGUCUCUAGGCACUUGUGGGAGUAGUUGCUACGAGUUUAGUUGAGCCUUAUUCACUUUUCCUUAGAAUCACUAAAAAUUUCAGAAAUUUUUAGAGAUAGAAAAGCGGAAAGAUGAGGAGGUUAUUAAGAGGCUCGUCAAGCCGUGACCCCAAGGAUGAUGGGAGUGAGAAGAAGCCCAAGUAUCUAGUCCCUCGAGUCGUAGAAGUUUGAGCGUGCAAGUGGCCAAGCAAUGUGUUCUUACGCGCCGCUAGAAUUUACGAGGACUUUUAUCACUUGGUGGAGAACGCAGGCCUUACCGCCUUCGUUGAAGAUAAAUGUCCGCAAUACCUCCUCCUCACUAAUAUCUUCGUACAAAGCUUUAACUUCUAUCCAAGGAAGAAUCCUCCUAUGGUUGAGUUCAAACUUUAUGAUAUCCCCCAGCGCAUGUCACUCCAGGAUUUUUGCAAUGUUUGCAAAUUGCCUUACGUUGGGGAUAUUCAUGAACCUCGUCCACGGGACUUGGAAGCUUUCAUCGGUACAAUUGCUGUAGGAGAGGAGAGAGGAGUGUCUUGCGCUAGAGCUGCUAGCAUACAUUUUCCCGUGCUUCGGUACUUCUCACUAUUUAUGGGAAAAUGUUUGAUUGGUCGUGGGAAAGCUAGGUCACUUAGUUCCCCAGAUCUUGCGGUCUUGCGCGAAGCCCUUUAUAACGAUAAAACUUAUAGCUUGGGUGCUAUAGUAGCUCAACGGUUGAACCUGAACCGUUCUAAGGGUGUUGUCUAUGGAGAUAUCAAUGCUACUCGUCUUGCUAGACACUUUGAGAUACCUAUUAGACUGGACGAGGAAGAAGAGAUUCUUCUUCCCGAGAGAUAUCUAGAUUACAAUAGCAUGGUUCGCCAUGACUUUCUUGAUAGAGAUAUAAGUAGAAGGAUGAUUUGUAACCUGGUAUUUAGUCAGGGUACUCGUGAGACUAUUAAUUUGCCUGCUCCUUCUUUGUUCAAUCUUCAUGCAGGCAGGUACACUAUUAUGCCCUCGGACAUCUACGCAUAUUGGGGCUUAGCCCAACCACAGGUGCCCGUGCCCGAGCCGCUAGUCGAGUACCAGACGCUAGUUUAUCAGUGGGAGCCAAAGGAGCUCACACAGUAGUGGCAUUCUCAGUCCACUCCGGAGUACCCUGGAGCUGGUUAUUUCCCUCCUUGAGUGUAGACAAACUUAGGCCAAAAGCCUAAGCUUGGGGGAGUACAUGUUCUCACCGACUUUACAUGCUUGCUUAUGGUUUCACUUUGUUCGUCGGUGUUCACACUUUGCCACUGUAUCAUUGAUACGUCCAUUUUGCAUCAUGCUUUCAGGUUGACAUUUAUUGCUUUAUUGGCUGUUAUAUUACUUUGUGGUACCAUAUUUAUGCCUUUUCUCUCUUAUUUUGCAAGGUUUAUUUGAAGAGGGAGAAUUCAAGCAGCUAGAAUUCUGGACUGGAAAAGGAGCAAAUCUUUGUCCACUAUUCUGCACAUCUCCAAAUACCCUGAAAAGUUACGUGGAAUUUUUUGGGAUUAUAUAAAAAAUACUGGGCGAAAGAAGUACCAGAGGGGGGCUGCCAGGGCGCCACAAGCCCUGCCACCGCCACCCCCCUCGUGGCGGAGGGCAAGCUUGUGGGCUCCCUAACGGCCCACUAGGCCCCCUCUUUUGCUAUAUGAAGGGUUUCGAUCCAGAAAAAAAUUCAAUCGGGAGCUUUUUCGUGGUUUCGCCGCCGCCACGAGGCGGAACUUGAGCAGAUCCAAUCUAGAGCUCCGGCAGGACGAUCCUGCCGGGGAAACUUCCCUCCCGGAGGGGGAAAUCAUCGCCAUCGUCAUCACCAACACUACUCUCAUUGGAGGGGAGACAUCUUCAUCAACAUCUUCAUCAGCACCAUCUCCUCUCCAAUCCCUAGUUCAUCUCUUGUAAUCAAUCUNCAGAAGCUUAAACCCCAGCCUAUGCGUUGCUUCGUAAGGGGCUGAUUUGGAUCCACUAGUUUAAUGCUAUGGUUAGACGUUGUCUUAAUUUUUCUUUCGUAGUUGCGGAUGCUUGCGAGAGGGGUUAAUCAUAAGUGGGAUGCUUGUCCAAGUAAGGGCAGUACCCAAGUGCCGGUCCACCCACAUAUCAAACUAUCAAAGUAACGAACACGAAUCAUAUGAACAUGAUGAAAGUAGCAUGACGGAAAUUCCCGUGUGUCCUCGGGAGCGUUUUUCCCCCUAUAAGACUUUGUUCAGGCUUGUCCCUUGCUACAAACGGGAUUGGGCCACUUGCUGCACCGUUACUUCUACUUGUUACUUUUCGCUUGCUACGUUUCAGUGCUUGCAGUUAUUACCUUGCUGAAAACCGUUUAUCAGAGCCUUCUGUUCCUCAUUGGGUUCGACACUCUUACUUAUCGAAAGGACUACGAUUGAUACCCUAUACUUGUGGGUCAUCAAGACUCUUUUCUGGCGCCGUUUCCUGGGAGUGAAGCGCCUUUGGUAAGUGGAAAUUGGUAAGGAAACAUUUUUAUAUCGUGCUGAAAUUUAUUGUCACUUGUCACUAUGGAAACUGUUCCUUUGAGGAGUUUGUUCGGGGUAUCUUCACCACGAAUGGAAGCACGAGGAGUUGUUCCUCAACCUGAGGUACCUACUGAAAAUAUCUUUUAUGAAAUUCCUUCGGGUAUGCUUGAGAAACUGUUGGCUAAUCCUUUCAUAGGAGAUGGAUCUUCACAUCCAGACUUGCAUCUAAUCUAUGUAGACGAAGUUUGUGGUUUAUUUAAGCUUGCAGGUUUGCCCGAGGAUGAGGUAAAUAAGAAAGUCUUUCCUUUAUCUUUGAAGGAUAAGGCGUUGACAUGGUAUAGGCUAUGUGAUGAUACUGGAUCAUGGGGCUACAAUCGGUUGAAAUUGGAAUUUCAUCUACAGUUCUAUCCUAUGCAUUUAGUACAUCGUGAUCGGAACUUUAUUUAUAACUUUUGGCCUCGUGACAGGGAAAGCAUAGCUCAAGCUUGGGGGAGGCUUAAAUCAAUGCUAUAUUCAUGCCCCAAUCAUGAGCUCUCGAGAGAAAUCAUCACUCAAAACUUUUAUGCUCGGCUUUCUCAUGAAGAUCGUACCAUGGUUGACACUUCUUGUACCUGUUCUUUUAUGAAGAAGGAUACUGAUCACAAGUGGAAUUUAUUGGAGAGAAUCAAACGCAACUCUGAAGAUUGGGAGAUGGAGGAAGGUAAGGAGUCAGGUAUGAAUUUCCAGUUUGAUUGCGUUGAAUCUUUUGUUGAGACAAACACUUUUAGAGAUUUUAGCGCUAAGUAUGGACUUGACUCUGAGAUAGUAGCUUCUCUAUGUGAAUCUUUUGCUGCUCAUGUUGAUUUUCCCAAAGAGAAGUGGUUUAAAUAUCAUCCUCCUAUAGAAAGCAACAUAUCCAAAACCAAUCUAGUUGAGGAGAAAGUCACUGCAUUUAGUGAUCCAGUUGUUCCUUGUGCUUACACUGAGAAACCACCAUACCCUGCUAGGAUAAAGGAUUAUUUUAAAGCUCCAACUGUGAUACGUAGGGGUUACAUUAGACCACUUGCACCCCCUGAGGAGAUUAGAGUUGAACUAGUGUUGCUAUUAUCAAAGAUCUCUUAGCCGAAGACGUAGACGGGCAUGUUAUCAAAUUCUGUGAGGACUCCGCUAGAAUUGCUAAACCUCACGCGAAGGACAAAUACUGACAUGUAGUUGGCUUGCCUGUUGUUUCUGUCAAGAUACGAGAUCACUGUUACCAUGGUUUAUGUGAUAUGGGAGCUAAUGUUAGUGCAAUACCCCGUUCUCUAUAUGAUGAAAUCAAAGAUGAGAUUGCACCUGCUGAGUUAGAACCCAUUGAUGUCACUAUUACGCUAUCUAAUAGAGACACUAUCUACCCUGUGGGAAUUGUGAGAGACGAAGAAGUCAUGUGUGGUAAGACGAAGUAUCCUACUGAUUUCCUCGUCCUUGGUACUGCACAAGAUAGCUUUUGUCCCAUCAUAUUUGGUAGACCCUUUCUCAACACUGUCAAUGCUCACAUUGAUUGCAUUAAGCAGACUGUCACAGUUAGUUUCGAGGGUGUGUCUCAUGAAUUUAACUUCUCUAAGUUUGGAAGACAACCCCAUGAAAAAGAGUCGUCUGGAAGGGAUGAAAUCAUUGCUCUUGCCUCUAUUGUCGUACCUCCUGCGAAUCCUUUAGAGAAAUAUCUGCUUGAGCAUGAAAAUGAUAUGCAUAUGGAGGAGAGAGAUGAGAUAGAUAAAAUUGUCUUAGAACAAUAUCCUAUUCUCAAGAAUAAUCUGCCUGUUGAAUUGCUUGGGGAUCCACCCCCACCAAAGGGUGAUCCUGUUUUCCAGCUUAAACAGUUGCCUCAUACUCUUAAGUAUGCCUAUCUUGAUGAGAAGGAGAUAUAUCAUGUUAUUAUUAGUGCUCUCCUCUUAGAGCACGAAGAGAAAAAGUUACUAAAAACUCUGAGGAAGAACUGUGCUGCUAUUGGAUAUACUCUUGAUGAUCUUAAGGGUAUUACUCCUACUCUAUGUCACCACAAGAUUAAAACCGAUCCUGACUUUAAACCAGUUGUUGAUCACCAAAGGAGAUUAAAUCCUAAGAUGAAAGAGGUCGUUAGAAAAGAAAUAUUAAAGCUUCUGGAAGCAUGAAUCAUUUAUCCUGUUGCUCAUAGUGAUUGGGUAAGUCCAGUGCAUUGCGUACCUAAGAAGGGAGGUAUCACCGUCGUUCCUAAUGAUAAGGAUGAACGAAUCCCACAAAGGAUUAUUACCGGCUAUAGGAUGGUGAUAGACUUCCGGAAACUGAACAAGGCAACCAAGAAAGAUCAUUAUCCUUUACCAUUUAUUGACCAAAUGCUAGAAAGGCUAUCAAAACACACACACUUCUGCUUUCUAGACGGUUAUUCAGAUUUCUCGCAAAUACCUGUUGCACAAUCUGAUCAGGAGAAAACCACUUUCACCUACCCCUUCGGUACCUUUGCUUAUAGACGUAUGCCUUUCGGCAUAUGCAAUGCACGUGCCACUUUUCAAAGAUGUAUGAUGGCUAUAUUCUCUGACUUUUGUGAAAAGAUUGUCGAGGUUUUCAUGGAUGACUUCUCCGUUUAUGGGUCUUCCUUUGACGAUUGCCUCAGCAACCUUGAUCGAGUCUUACAGAGAUGCGAAAAUACCAACCUCGUCUUGAAUUGGGAGAAGUGCCACUUUAUGGUUAAUGAAGGCAUCGUAUUAGGAUACAAAAUCUCUGAAAGAGGCAUUGAAGUUGAUAAGGCUAAGGUUGAUGCAAUUGAGAAAAUGCCUUGCCCCACAGAUAUCACAGGUAUACGAAGUUUCCUAGGUCAUGCUGGUUUCUAUAGAAUGUUCAUUAAGGACUUCUCUAAGAUUUCUCGGCCUCUUACCAACCUCUUGCAGAAGGAUGUUCCUUUUGUUUUUGAUGCGGAUUGUGAGGAAGCUUUCGAAAUACUUAAGAAGGCUUUGAUAACCGCACCUAUUGUUCAACCACGUGACUGGAACUUGCCCUUUGAAAUCAUGUGCGAUGCUAGUGAUUAUGCUGUUGGUGUUGUUCUAGGACAGAGAGUUGACAAGAAGUUGAAUGUUAUUCACUAUGCUAGUAAAACUCUAGACAGUGCCCAAAGAAACUAUGCCACUAUGGAGAAGGAAUUUUUAGCAGUCGUGUUUGCAUGUGAACAGUUCAGAUCUUAUAUAGUUGACUCCAAAGUCACUAUUCACUCUGAUCAUGCUGCUAUUAAGUACCUUAUGGAGAAGAAGGACGCUAAGCCUAGGCUGAUCAGAUGGGUUCUCCUGCUACUGGAAUUUUAUUUGCACGUUGUUGACCGAAAGGGUGCUGAUACCCCUGUAGCAGAUAACUUGUCUAGGCUAGAGAAUAUCCUUGAUGACCCACGACCUAUUGAUGACAGCUUUCCUGAUGAGCAAUUAAAUGUCAUCCACACUUCACAUAGUGCACCGUGGUAUGCUGAUUACGCAAACUAUAUCAUAGCCAAAUACAUACCACCCAGUUUCACCUAUCAGCAAAAGAAGAAAUUCUUCUUUGAUUUGAGACACUACUUUUGGGAUGAUCCUCACCUUUAUAAGGCAGGAGUAGAUGGUGUUAUUAGACGUUGUGUACCUGAACAUGAACAGGGACAGAUCUUGCAGAAGUGUCAUUCCGAAGCCUACGGAGGACACCAUGCUGGAGAUAGAACUGCUCAUAAGGUAUUGCAAUCAGGUUUCUAUUGGCCCACUCUCUUUAAGGAUGCCCGUAAGUUUGUCUUGUCUUGUGAAGAAUGCCAAAGAAUAGGGAAUAUCAGUAAGCGUCAGGAAAUGCCUAUGAACUAUUCACUUGUCAUUGAACCAUUUGAUGUCUGGGGCUUUGAUUAUAUGGGACCUUUCCCGAGUUCCAGUGGGUACACUCACAUCUUAGUUGUUGUGGAUUACGUCACUAAGUGGGUAGAAGCUAUCCCCACUAAAAAUGCUGAUCACCAUACCUUUAUUAAGAUGCUUAAAGAAGUCAUUUUCCCAAGAUUUGGAGUCCCUAGAUAUCUGAUGACUGAUGGCGUUUCACACUUCAUUCAUGGUGUUUUCCGCAAGAUGCUCGCUAAGUAUAAUGUCAACCAUAGAGCUUCAUCUCCUUAUCAUCCUCAGUCUAGUGGUCAAGUGGAGCUGAGUAAUAGGGAGAUCAAGUUGAUCCUACAAAAGACCGUCAAUAGAUCUCGAAAGAAUUGGUCUAGCAAACUUGACGAAGCAUUAUGGGCUUAUAGAACUGCUUAUAAGAAUCCCAUGGGCAUGUCACCCUAUAAAAUGGUUUACGGUAAGGCCUGUCAUUUACCUCUUGAGCUGGAACACAAAGCUUAUUGGGCAAUCAAAGAGCUCAACUUCGAUUUCAAACUUGCCGGUGAGAAGCGGUUGUUUGAUAUCAGCUCGUUAGAUGAAUGGAGGGCCCAGGCAUAUGAGAAUGCCAAGUUGUUCAAGGAAAAGGUUAAGAGAUGGCAUGGUAAACGAAUACAGAAAUGAGAGUUCAAUGUAGGUGAUGAUGUCCAGCAAUACAAUUCUCGUUUGAGAUUCUUUGGAGGCAAGCUUCUCUCUAAAUGGGAAGGUCCUUAUGUUAUCGAGGAAGUAUAUCGUUCCGGUGCCAUCAAAAUCAAUAACACGGAAGGAAAAUUUCCUAGAGUGGUAAAUGGGCAAAGAAUCAAGCAUUACAUCUGUCAUACUCCCAUAAAUGUUGAGACCAAUAUCAUCAAUGUCAUAACUCCAGAGGAGUACAUAAGGGAUGUUUAUCAGCCUCUUUCAGACCCUGAAAAUGAAGAGGUAUCUGUUUCGGUAAGAAAUUGGACUCCGGCGCUUUCCCAAUAGGAAUUUUCCUCCGUUUUGGAAUUUUUGGAAAAUUAGAAAAAUAAAAAGCAGUCUGGAGUGCGCACGAGGCGGCCACAAGCCCUGCCACCGCCACCCCCUGGUGGCGGAGGGCAAGCUUGUGGGCACCUCGUGUGCCUCCCGGACUCCGUUUUCUUGCGGAGCCCUCCUUCUGGUCCAGAAAAAAUCAAUAUAUAUUCGCCCGAAGUUUUUGAUCUCCGUAUCGUGCAGUCUUCCUCUGUUUUCGUUUCGAGCCUGUUUCUGUGGCAGAUCUAGAUCAUCAUGACUUCCCCAAACGCUCCUAAGGACAAGAUCUUCGAGAAGGUCAUCAAUCCCUACCUCACGGAAGUGCUGAAACACCCUCAAUCUAUCAAGAUGAGCGAGGGGAUGUUGCACAUCCGUGAUGUUGAGGGGCCUAAGAAGACCGGAAGCAUGGAGACGAGGCUCGAAGCAAUGGAGCAAUAAGUCUUCAAGUGCCAGGGGAUGGUGGAGCGUGGACUCAACACCAACCACAUGAUGAUCACGAAGUUCACUAGCAAUCACAAGAUGGAUGCCAUUGACAUUGGGAAACACCUCUCCAGGUUCUAUGACAUGGUUGAACAACUUCAGGGCCAGAUCUAUGACCUACAGAAACAAAACUGUGAGUAUGAGUACAGAUUUAAAUCAAUAAGGUUGGCUGCAAAUUUGAGGAUUCCGGCGACUCGUUCAUCCUGCCAUGAUGGAGCACCUAUGCCUUGGAAGAGGGAGGAUCGGACUACUCCAACAACUCCACCACCAUUACCACCGAAGGAAGACAACUAAGCAUUGGUAUGGGUAAUCCCCUUGGCUUCUGCCAAGCUUGGGGGAGUUGCCCUGGUAUCGUAUCACCUUUAUAUCUUUUGCUUUUACCUUUGUUUUAGUUCUUUCCUUUUCAGUUUUUAUUUCUUCUCUUAGAGGAAUAAGUCUUUAGUAUUUAGUUUGAGUCUUUUGCUUUUGUCUCUCUCCCGAUGUACUCGAGCUUACGAGCUAUAUAAAAAAGAGUAUCUUAGUCAAGGGCUUUGCUUUGUGCCAUGAUCAAAAGUAUGAAAAGAACAAUAGCAUGAAAGAUCAUGAGACGAUCUUAUGGAAAGUGAUAGCUUCACAUAUGACACAUAUGAUGAUUGAAACUUGUUGUGAAUUAAUCAACAUAGACCUCAGUCAUUCUUGCAAUUAAUAAGAAGUAAUAAGGAAAGAGAGGUUCACAUAUAAAUAUAUCAUCCUAUACACUUUUUACAAUUGUGAGCACUCACCAAACUAUUACAUGUUAGGAGUAGAUGUUGGACAAGGAAGACAACAUAAUGAAUAGUGUUUGCUUGGUUCCAAACAAUGUUAUAUGAUUAGAGAUCCCUUAGCAUGUGACGAUUGCUUCCACCUCAUGUUAGCCAAAACUCCCGCACCAAGUAGAGAUACUACUUGUGCAUCCAUAAACCUUCAACCCAGUUUUCCCAUGAGAGUCCACCAUACCUACCUAUGGAUUGAAUAAGAUCCUUCAAGUAAGUUGUCAUCGGUGCAAGCAAUAAAAAUUGCUCUCUAAUAUGUAUGAUCUAUUAGUCUGUGGAAAAUAAGCUUUGUACGAACGUGUCAUGAGGAAGACAUAAAAGCGAUAGACUGCAUAAUAAAGUUCUUUAUCACAGGAGGCAAUAUAAAGUGACGUUCCUCCGCACUAAGAGGACACACAUUCAAACAUCAAAAUCACAUGACAACCUCUGCUUCCCCCUGCGAAUGGCCUAUCUUGUACCUUUACUUUUUGCCCUUGUAAGAGUCAUGGUGAUCUUCACCAAUUCCCUAUUUUUUCCUUUGUCUUGGCUACCGUCACAUGCUUGGGAAAGAUCUAUAUUCAUAUAUCAACUUGGAGUUGAGUACUUAUGCUUUAUUAUUGUUGACUUUACCCUUGAGGUAAAUCGUUGGGAGGCAAAACUAUAAGCCCCUAUCUUCCUCCGUGUCCAGCUGAAACUUUGACACCAUGAGUACCUCGUGAGUUGUAACAAUUGUGGAAAAUAAAAGAGAUGAUUGAGUAUGUGGAUUUGCCUUACAAGCUCUUAUUUGACUCUUUCUGAUUUUGUGAUAAAUUGUAAUUUCUUUAAUGACUUUGGACUGUUGUUGGUUACUUCUCGGUAAGGUUUUUUGCUUCAUGUUUUGCUUUGUGAAGGAAUUGUUACUUUCCUAUAAGAAUCUUUAUGAUGUAUUGUUGUCCUAUGUGUGAUCAUGAUGCCCUCAUGUCCGUAUUAUGCUUUAUCCACACCUUCGUCCCUCAACAUAUGGACAUGUUUAUGGAACUUGGUUUUCGCUUGACGACAAGCGAGGUCUAAGCUUGGGGAGUUGAUACGUCCAUUUUGCAUCAUGCUUUCAUGUUGAUAUUUAUUGCUUUAUGGGCUGUUAUAUUACUUUGUGGUACCAUAUUUAUGCCUUUUCUCUCUUAUUUUGCAAGGUUUAUUUGAAGAGGGAGAAUUCAAGCAGCUAGAAUUCUGGACUGGAAAAGGAGCAAAUCUUAGGCCACUAUUCUACACAUCUCCAAAUGCCCUGACAAGUUACGUGGAAUUUUUUGGGAUUAUAUAAAAAAUACUGGGCGAAAGAAGUACUAGAGGGGGGCUGCCAGGGCGCCACAAGCCUUGCCACCGCCACCCCCCUCGUGGCGGAGGGCAAGCUUGUGGGCUCCCUGACGGCCCACUAGCCCCCCUCUUUUUCUAUAUGAAGGGUUUCGUUCCAAAAAAAAAUCAAUCGGGAGCUUUUUGGUGGUUUCGCCGCCGCCACGAGGCGGAACUUGAGCAGAUCAAAUCUAGAGCUCCGGCAGGACGAUCCUGCCGGGGAAACUUCCGUCCCAGAGGGGGAAAUCGUCGCCAUCGUCAUCACCAACACUCCUCUCGUCGGAGGGGAGGCAUCUUCAUCAACAUCUUCAUCAGCACCAUCUCCUCUCCAAUCCCUAGUUGAUCUCUUGUAAUCAAUCUNCAGAAGCUUAAACCCCAGUCUAUGCAUUGCUUCGUAAGGGGCUGAUUUGGAUCCACUAGUUUAAUGCUAUGGUUAGACGUUGUCUUAAUUCUUCUCUCGUAGUUGUGGAUACUUGCGAGAGGGGUUAAUCAUAAGUGGGAUGCUUGUCCAAUUAAGGGAAGUAUACAAGCGCCGGUCCACCCACAUAUCAAACUAUCAAAGUAACGAACGCAAAUCAUAUGAACAUGAUGAAACUACCAUGACAGAAAUUCCCGUGCGUCCUCGAGAGCGUUUUUCCUCCUAUAAGACUUUGUGCAGGCUUGUCCCUUGCUACAAAAGGGAUUGGGCCACUUGAUGCACCGUUACUGCUACUUGUUACUUGUUACUUUUUGCUUGCUACAUUUCACCUCACUACACCAUCACUUGUUACCACUACUUUCAGUGCUUGCAGUUAUUACCUUGCUGAAAACCGUUUAUCAGAGCCUUCUGCUCCUCGUUGGGUUCCAUACUCUUACUUAUGGAAAGGACUACGAUUGAUCCCCUAUACUUGUGGGUCAUCAAUCAUCCAUGCUAGUUUAUUUUCUUUUUCUCAUUUUAUUUUCGUGUGUUUGUGUAGUUUGAGAAAAACCAAAAAGAUUUUCUUUUCUUCUUUUGCUUGUUGGGAACUUUCCCGUGUAAAUAGUUUUCUUUUUUCCUUUGGUCAUGGUAGAAGAUAAUGGUUACAAUGUUUAGUGGCUCUUGCAUGCAUACCUGUUUAGCUUUCAAGGAGCGAUAUUACUUUGUCUUCUCCUUUGUGUUUGCGUGCAGAUUCCAGCUUUAGUCCAAUGCACGAGCACUCUUAUUAUUGUUCACAUCGUUCGGUCGUGCAAGUGAAAGGCAAUAAUGACGAUAUAUGAUGAAAUGACUGAGCCAGGAAAAGCUGGUAUGAACUCGAUCUAUUUUGUUUUUUAAAUAUGACUAGCUCAUCUUGCCUGAUUCAACUUUGUUGUGAGAUAAACAUGUUUGCAAUGACAACUUAGAGAUCAUAGUUGCUUAUGCCAUGCUUACUUAGCUAGGAGCUUAUAAUGGUAUGCCUUGGUUACCAACAUGAAUGUUGAGAUGACUAUGAUGUAGUAUGAUAGGAUGGUAUCCUCCUGUGAUUGAUUCAAGUAGCUUGACUUAGCGCAUGUUCACGCAUGUAGUUGAAACAAAAUCAACAUAGCCUCUAUGGUGUUCAUGUUCAUGGUGAUUUGUGUCCUACUUAUGCUUGCACUCAAUGAUAGUUAAUCUCAAUGCAUUUUGAUGACUGUUGUCGCUCUCUAGUUGGUCGCUUCCCAGUCUUUUGCUAGCCAUCACUUGUACUAAGCGGGAAUACUGCUUGUGCAUCCACUUCCAUAAACCCAAAGUUGUGCCAUAUGAGUCCACCAUACCUACCUAUGUGCGGUAUCUACCUGCCGUUCCAAGUAAAUUUGCAUGUCCCACUCUCUAAAUCCUCAAGAAAUAAUCCGUUUUGCAUGCCCGAACUGCUCAUGUGGUGACAAGGGGCUAUUGGUAUCUUCCAUGCUAGGCGUGUUAUCCUCGAUAUGUGUUUAUUCACUAUCAUUCACGAGAAAGGGGCCGGUAAUUGGAAUUCCUAGUUCCAUACUCAAAUCGAAAAGAUAAUUGCAAACAAAACUCCCCCAGGAUUGAUGUUGGUAUGGAAGGUACCCGAGGAUUCGGCUAGCCGUGGAGUGUGAUUGAUUGGUGGUUGGGGGAGUCAAAACUUUACUUUUCUGUUUGGAACCGCCUAUAGCAUGUGUAGCGUGGAAGAUGUUGAGAACUCUUAGUCAUUGCAUUGACAAUGAAAGCAUGCCACCCAAAAUUAUUAUGUCUGUUUUCAAAGCUUGAGCUCUGGCACCUCUGGAUAUAAAUGCUUCCCUCUACGAAGGGCCUGUCUAUUUAUGUUCCUCUCGAGUCAUCCUCCUCUUACAAAAGCACCAAUUAGAGAGCACCUCUGUCAUUUUUAUGUUUCGCUUUUAACUGUAUUGAGUAUGACUGUGACUGAAUCUUCAUUGCCUUGAAUUACAAUUUUUAGUCAGCCCUUGGUCUUUGAAGGUGCUCUGCAUUUAUGUUUUGCGGUCUCAGAAAGAGCUAGCGAGAUACCAUCUAUUUGUAUUGUUUCAUGUUGUCUUGAUUGAAGUGUUGACAUUUGAGGCUUAUUAUGAUUUGCUCGCUAGUUGAUUAUGCCAUUGAUAUGAGUUUACCGUGAGACCUAGAUGUCAUUUGCUUAUGUGGUUUGCUUGUGAUCUUGCCGACAUUCUGGUUAUGAGUUAGACAUAGUUGCAACAACAAGAUCAAACAGAGUUCGUCAAAGUUUUGGUUUUUUCUCUUUCAGUUUGUCAACUGGAUUGCUUGAGGACAAGCAAGGCUUUAAGCUUGGGGGAGUUGAUACGUCUCCGUCGUAUCUACUUUUCUGAACUCUUUUGCCCUUGUUUUGGACUCUAAUUUGCUUGAUUUGAAUGGAACUAACCCGGACUGACGAUGUUUUCAGCAGAAUUGCCAUGGU
rnacentral:lncRNA from 1 species